rnacentral:lncRNA from 1 species
GCUGAGGGUCGUUCCGUACGAGCGAACGUCGGGGUGGAGUUGAAAGGCGUCAGGUGGAGUUGAAAGGCGCCGAGGGCGGGGAUUGAAAGCGAGGGCUGGGCGGAGAGACACGCCGGGAAAAGUCCUUAAGGAUCGGCGUUCACCACGCCGACGCGGUCGUAUGGGGACCAGUGUAAGGGACGCGCCUGAAUAUCGUGACGUCGGCGCCGUCCGCGAGCGUCUGUAAGACGCCGCAGUUCGCCGCGUACCUGCGGAAGUGACGACGCGCGGAUGGAGGAAGUGAAUUGACGACACGUGGAUGGAAGCGAUUGGUCAGCGCGUGAAAAACCAUGAUGACAUGGCACAUUCUGCGGUCGAUAUUCGUUCGUUCGCGCGAACCGCGAACGCACCCCGACGGAAACAGCGCGCACUCCUCCGUCUUUUUCAACGCCGCCAGCGCCGUCUCCAACUCGCGGUGCUCGCGCGUGUACCCCGCCACGAGAGGCGACGACCGCGGCCCGCAUCCGUGCCGCAGCGACGCGUCGGACGCCGCGGCUCGCACCGCCGGGUGCGACGACAGGCCGAGGUAGUCGUUCGAAGAGAAGAGCCGCAGGGAGCGCCAAUGAUCUUCACGCCUCCCCGACGCGUCGUCGUCGCCGCCGCGUCCUCCUCCUCCUCCUCCUCCUCCGUCGUGCGAUUCCCCGAGGUCGUGCUCGCCGCAGAGCCACCGGCGCAUCGUCUCCGGGGACACGCGCACGGUCAUCGGAGAGGAGGAGGAGGACGCGGACGAGUAGGAGGGACCCGCGCGCGUCGUCGUCGUCGAUUCGAUCGAUUCGGCUUCGGCGUCGAACGGCGCGACCGGCCGCAGGGACCGCGUCAGCCGCGACGCGUCCAGGGCGGACAGCGUCGAUCGCGUCCACGCGUCCCACGUCGCGACGACGCCGCCUCCGCGAGGAGGAGGAGGAGGAGACGUCAUCGCGGCGGGCGACGACGACGGCGGACGCCGCGCGCGCGAGAUGCUCUCUGUGACCUAAAAACUAAAAACCUGUUUUUUUUUUCUCGAGAGUGCCGACCGCGAGACACACACACAUCGCGCGCGCGCGCGUCCCCACGCGCGCGCCGCGCCCCUCCCCAACGAACGAAUGCCCCCCCACCCACCGACCACGGCGUCCUUCGACGUCUUCGAUCGCGCGCUGACCCUGCACGUCGACCCCGACGCGCUCAACGAGGCUGGCGUCGUGUGGCGCGACGCCGUCCGAUCGCUCGCGCGCGUCGCCGCGCCGCGAUGCCUGCGCGUCGCGGCGUCCGUCGAGGGGCUCUUCGCGCGCGACGCGCGCUGCGGCGUCGGCUUCGCGGGCGCGCCGCCGGUUCGCGUGCUCGAGCUCGGCGCGGGCACGGGCGCGUGCGGGCUCGCGCUCGCGGCGGUCGUGCCGCGCGCGACGUGCGUCCUGACGGACGUGGACGACGUCGUCGAGCUGACGCGGGUGCGAUUGAUGUUCAUCAAUUCGAAACUGCUUCCCAUACGACCACCCGCGUCGCGCGUUGAACGCCGUUCCUUAAGGCGUUCGUUCUCUCGCGCGCCGUCGACCUCACGUUCGCGUCGACGCGUGGGAAUGAUACGCUAUCAACCAAUCACAUGAGAUCAUGACUGACACGUGUCUUCACCUCGACCGCUCGCAGCGCAACGUCGCGUCGUUCGUCGACGGCGUCGGCGCGCCGGACGAAGUCGCCAACGGCCCGCUCGCGCCCGGGAGCGUCUGCGUCGCCGCGGCGCUGCGAUGGGGUGAGUCGACGGAGGCGGCGGAGAGGGCGGCGGACGAGGCGGAUGCGGCGGCGGCGGGGGGGGGGAGGAGGAGGAAGGAGGCGACGGACGUCGAGGAGGGCGAUGAGAAGGAGAACGCCUACGACGACGAAAAAAAUAAUACAGGUAAGUCGCGGCGCGGGUGGGACUUCGUCCUCGCGUGCGAGACGCUCUACGUGCCCGGGACAUGGGACCUGUUCCAGGAGGACACGCGCGGGCCGCUGUUGCGAACGCUCAUCGAGGCGUGCUCGCGUUCGCGGAAGAAGAAAACGGUCGUCAUGAUGGCGUUUACCGUCAGGGACAAAGGCCGCGAGGUUGGCUGGGCGACUGGCGCGUUUGGAGAAAAUUUUUGGAUGCGGCGGCUGCGCGGCGGCGGCGACGACGACGACGACGACGACGACGACGACGACGACGACGACGAGACGACGAGAGCGAGGGACGCGGACGCGAGGGCGUCGCUGGAGGCUGCCGCGGAGGGCGACCUCGUGGUGUUGCGCGCGCGAGCCAAGCGUGAGGAAGGGGAGGAGGAGGAGGAGGAGGAGGAGGAGGUUGACCGGUAGCGGAGAGAUAUUCUUUGAUGAGUCAGAUGUGUCGGUUGUCAGCAGCGUCGCCUCUCAGGUCGUCUCGACUGUUCGGGACAUCCAGUCACCAGUUCCGCGCGCGCCGUCCGUCGUCGUCGCGCGCCGCGACUCGGCGCGAUGCAGCACCCGCGCGGGGUGACCGGGCUCGAGCCCGGGGUCUCGGUAUGGCGGAAAGCCGACAUCGGUGCGUCGUCGCGCCGUUCGCGCGCGCGUCGCCGCCGCGGACGCGCGGGUCCCGCCGUCGUCGUCGUCGUCGUCGUCGUCGUCGUCGCGCGAGUCAAAGUAGCCCGUUUCGCAUCCGUCCCCCCUCCCUCCCUUUCGCUGACGCCGUCGCCGUCGUCAUCGCAGACCGCCUCCCGAAGGACGAGCACCGCGCGAUGGCCGCGCUCCUGGAGGAAGCCGGCCGCUUAUCCGCGCGCGCGCAGGCGCUCCCGGCGCCCAUCACGUCCCUGGUGCGCGCCGGCCCGCGCGUUCCUCUCCAUCUUUCUUCAUCCGUCCGUCGUCCCCCUCGUCUCGUCUCGACGUUCGAUCUCGUCCCCGUCCCCGUCCCCGUCCCCGCCGUUUCCCCGUCGCCGACCGCGCGCCUCCCCCACCUCCCCGUCGUCAUCGCGUCGUCAUCAUCAUCGCAGGAGCGCCUUCACGCGGACCAGCGUCUGUACAUCGCAUCGCACGACGCGAGCGACCCAUCGCGCGGGCCCUCCGUCGUUCUCGGCUUUCUCAAGGUUGGCGAGAAGCGCCUUUUCGUGUCGGAUCCGCGAGGGAACACGGUCGAGAUCGAGCCGUGCUGCGUCCUCGACUUUUACGUCCACGAGAGCUGCCAGAGAGGCGGCAUCGGGAGCGAGCUGUUCGCGCGGUUCCUGGAGGAGGAAGACCACCGACCGGCGCGGCUGGCGUACGAUCGUCCCUCGCACAAGCUCAAGAGCUUCCUGAGGUGCGUUCUAUCUCACACUGGUCCCCAUACGACCGCGUUCGCGUGGUGAACGCCGAUCCUUAAGGACUUUUAACCCCGGCGUUUCUCUCCGUCCACCCCUCGGUUACAAUCCCGACACACCUCGACGCCUUUGAACGCCAACUGACGCCUUUCAACUCCACCCCGAUAUCAUCGCUCGUCAGGAAACACUUCGGUCUCGUGAGCUUCUCGCCGAACGCGAACAACUACGUCGUGUUUCGCGACUACUGGGACGCGCCGCGGAGGCCGCACAGCGCCGCGCGGACGACCGCCGCGGAGCAAAAGAGCGCACAGCGCGCCGCGCCGGACAACCGCUGGGCGCCGGUCUCGCAGCGGCCGCUCACGGCGAACGGACGGAAAGGGAGGUUGUUCGGGUUUGGUCGAGGCGGGAAGAAUAAAAACGCCGUCGCGCCCGCGGGGACGCCGUCGCGGUCGCCGCCGACGAAUCCGAACGCGCCACGUGGCGGUGGAUUCGGCGGCGGCGGAAGCGGCGGCGAGUAUUCCACCUCGAACCCGGAGUCGCUGUCGCCCGUGGCGAGGGAUUUCGCGGGCGCGAACGCGGCGAGGCUGCGCGCGGCGGCGGCGGCGCGAGGCGGCACCGGCAUGGCGGACGUCUUCGGCGGCGGCGGCGCCGCCGCCGCCGCCCCCGCCGCCGUCCCCGGCAUGAGCGGCGGGCGAAGACCCGGGCGGCGGUUCGAGGUUGGCGGCGGCGGCGGCGACAUCGGCGCCGGCGCGAUGCACGCGGUCCCGCCGUCGUACAGGCGCGUUCUAUACACUGGUCCCCAUACGACCCCGUUCGCGUGGUGAACGCCGUUCCUUAAGGACUUUGCCCGGCGUGUCUCUCCGUCGCUCUCGUCCAAUCAAACAUCCACUUCAUCAAAUAACUAACCAAUCACAUCAAUUCCCGCCACAUCACCCACCAAUCAACCGCCGUCGUACAGGAACCAACAAGAGCGCGAGUUGGAGGAGCAGCGGCGGCGGCGGUCGCAGAUGACGCGAGCGGCGGAAUCGGCGCGUCGGGAGGAGGAAGAGGCGUCUUCUGCAGAGCGCGCCACGCGGGAGCGGGAGAGCGAGGCGGCGCGGGAGCAGAUGCAGAGAGCGCAGUCGAUGCAGCGCGGCGGCGGCGGCGGCGAAAGCGGCCGACAAGGCGGGGACGGCGCGGCGUCGUCGCAGUCGCAGUCGCAGUCGCAGUCGCAGUCGCAGUCGCAGUCGCAGUCGCAGUCGCGAGGCGGCGUGUGGGACGCGUCGCAGCUUCGCCCGCCGUCGCAAGAGCCGAGGCCGCCGUCGCGCGGAAGGGCGGACGCCGCGGAGAAGAGGCAAAAGUACUUCGCGGAUCUCGCGCGGAGGCAGCACGCGCGCGAGUCUCAAGAGCUUCGAGAGCGGCUCUCCAGACGCGCAGAGAGCGAGAUGGAUCAGAACGACCCUCGUCGAUCGUCGCCGCCGCGACCGGCGACGCCGCCGGAGGUGCGCCAGCGCCGAGAGAUGGCGCGCGAGCGCGAGGAGCAGAGAGAAGAGAUGGAGCGCCGCAAGCGCGAGAUGCUGAAGCAGCCGAUGACGGCAGCGGAUAGGGAGCGCGAGCUCGUCCAGGCGCGUCCUCAUCACACCGGUCCCCAUACGACCGCGUUCGCGCGGUGAAUGCCGAUCCUCAAGGACUUUCUCUCACGUCGUCUCUCUCCGCCCAGGGUCCCUCGCUUUCAACGCCCGACCCUAUGACGCCUUUCAACUCCGCUUCUGACGCCUUUGAACUCGCGCGUCCAGGCGGAGAUGGCAGCCAACGCGCGUCGGCUGUCGCAGCAGACGAUCGAGUCCGCGAACGCCAGGGCGAACGCCGCGGACCCCUCCCUCGCCGCCCUCUCCCCGCGGUCGCGGCAGCAGAAGCUCUACCUCCGCGACCUCGAAGAGCAGAUGCGGCGGCGCCCCCCGGACGGAGGCGGCGUGUCCACCGGCGCGAUCGCGGGGCGACGCGCGCCGUCGUACGUCCCACCGGACGACGGGCUGGACCGCAAGACGCAGCUCGAGGUGCUGCGAAGACAGCGGCGCGAGCGCGCGAGUCAAGCCGAGGCGGCGGCGACGCGCGCGGCGAUGGACCGCCAAGCGCGCGAAGACAAGGCGCGUUCACGUGAUUCACACUGGUCCCCAUACGACCCCAUCGGCGUGGUGAACGCCGUUCCUUAAGGACUUUGCCGGGCGCAUCUCUCCGCCCACCACCCCUCGCUUUCAAUCCCGACACACCUCGACGCCUUUCAACUCCGCUUCUGACGCCUAUGAACUCCACCCCGACAUUCGUCGCUUUGUAUGGACCCUCGACCCAAAGGCGAACGAAGAGCGCGCGCGAAUGGCGCGCGAGCGAGCGGAGCAGUGGGAGCGACGGAAGGACGCGGAGAGCGAGGCGCUGGGGCGGAUGCAGAGGGAGGAGCAGCGACGGCUCGCGACGCAGCGGCCCGCGGGCGCGGCGGUCAGGCGGGACGUCGAUCACGAGGGCGAGUUUGAUCCGCGGAACCCGCCGCGGCACGGCAGACGCGCGGCGGCGCCGCGGCUGUCUGAAUACCCGUACGACACCAGACAACAGCAAUACCAGCAGCACCAGGGGCGGUCGAUGGAGGAGGAGGACGAGAGGGAGGCGCACGCGAGGCACCAGCAUGCGAUGCAGCAGCGAGCGUACGCGCAGCGACAACAGCAUGAACAACAGCAGGGCGGCGGCGGCGGCGGCGGCGGCGACAGUCGCCGGGAGCAGCUCUUGCGGCAGAUGCAGGGUCGGCAGAUGCGGCCGCCUCAAGGAGGAGGGCAACAACACCACCAACAACACGACGGCGGCGGCGGUCGCGACGACGAGGAGAUGGAGUACCGUCGGCAGAUGUACGCGCGGCAGCAGCGCGCGGAACAGAUGGAACAGAUGGAACGGCAGAGCCGCGGCGGCGGCGGCUGCGGCGAUUUCGUGCCGUCUCGCGCCUUCCAAGGCCCCCGCCCCGGGUACGUCUUCAAGAGCGGCGACCGCGGGACCGGGUACUACGCGGACAUGGUCUCCGCGCGGCAGCGCUCGCGCGAGGGCGGCGACGACGCGCGCGGCGCGCGCGAGGAGAGCGACCGGAGACGCGCGCAGCAGAGUCAGCAGAGCCAAGAGGAGGAGUAUCACAUGCGACGGCGGCAGCAGAUGCAAGAAGAGAUGCGGCGUGCCGAACACGAGACGCAGCGGCGCGGGCAUCAUCACGGCGGCGGCGCUGGGAUGGCGGCCGCGUCCAAGGAGAACUACUCUCAACAUGGCGCCCAAGGAGGGGCGUACAACUCCGGGGCGUACAACUCCGCCGCGGAGGAGAUGAAGCGCGCGCGGGAACGGAUGACGUCGCACGCGGAUCAGCGGGGGGAAGCGCCGGCGAGGUACGGACGACGCGCGGCGCAUCCGCCGGGCCAUGGGCAGGGGCUGCGGGCGUAUUAGUGGGAUGGGAUGAGAGUCUAGCUAGGGUCUGCUAGCUAGUACAACUAGGGGUUUUUGUGUGUUUGGGGUUUCAGCAGCGAUGAUGCGUGUGAUGGAUAUCCUCUGUCCGUCGAUCGGUCGCUCGUCGCGCGGGCGGAGCAACCGAAUUAUCAUUUAUUAUUCCCAACGAACACGAAAAAAUGAUCUCGGGACUCGCGAUGUCGACUCCACAGAUCUCGUCCGCGCGCGGCGGCGCACACGGCGGCGGCGGCGGCGGCGCGGGCCCGCACCUCCCUCCUCGCGCUUCCCAUCCAUAACACCGCGCCCGCCCUCCCAUCAUGCCCAAGCAAAAGUUCAACAACUACGACAUCCGCGCGGAGGUGGCGUGCCUCCGCGCGCGCCUCGUCGGGACCUGGCUCACCAAUGUGUACGAUCGCGACAAGACGUCGUUCGUCUUCAAGUUCACGCGGAGCGGCGGCGCGACCGAGAGCGGCGAGGGCGAGAAAAUCAACGUCGUGAUCGAGAGCGGGACGCGGUUCCACUGCACGUCGCACGCGAGGGCGAGCGCGAGCGGCGGCGGCGGCGGAAAGGCAUCUUCGACCGAUCAGCCGUCAAAGUUUAACGCGAAACUGCGGAUGCAUCUCCGAGGCAAACGCCUCAACGCGAUCGAUCAGAUCGGCUCCGAUCGCGCGGUCGACUUUACGUUCUCGUCCGGCGACACCGAGCACCACCUGAUCGUGGAGCUGUACGCGCAAGGGAACGUGCUGCUGUUGGACAAGGACGACGUCGUGUUGACGUUGCUUCGCACGCACCGGGACGACGACAAGGGGGUCAAAAUUUUAGGUAAUCAUCGGUACCCGCGCGAGAGGUUCCGCACGCACAAGCGCGUCACGUUGCACGACCUCGAGGGCGCGCUGGUGGGCAGAGCGCGCGGUGAGGACACGCUGGCGGGCGCGGCGGCGGAUUCGAAUUCGAAUUCGAAUUCAAAUUCGACAGCUACAGACGCGGCGGCGGCGGCGGCGGCGCCGCGCGCGCCCGCGACGUUGCGAGAGGCGCUGUGUAAGGGGUUGGGACAGAACCCGCCGCUCGUGGACCGCGCGGCGAAGCUCGCGGGGCUUCCGAUGGGCGGGAACACGCCGCUGCCGCUGAAGGAGGAUUCGAGUAGUUUGAAUUCAAAUUCAAACGCGACAGCUCCGGUCGUCGAGCGGCUGCUUCGACAGCUGUCCGUCUUGGACGACUGGUUCGAGGGCGUCGGCGACGGCUCCGCGGUGCCGACCGGCGUCGUGACGCGGCGACGCAAGCCCGGGGCGACGGGAGACGACGACGACGCGUUCGUCGUCGACGACUUCAGCCCUCUGCCACCGAUCGACGCGAUCGAUUCAAAUGCAAAUUCGACAGCUACAGACGACGACGACGCGCGCGUGCAAGCCUAUGAAUCCUUCGACGACGCGCUCGACGCCUACUUCGCGUCGUUCGAGACGCAAGCCGCGACGCGCCAACGCGAACGCGCGGAAAAAGCCGUCGUCGACCGACUCGAAAAGGUGCGUUCUACACACUGGUCCCCAUACGACCGCGUUCGCGUGGUGAACGCCGAUCCUUAGUGACUCUCUCUCCCGGCGGUUCUCUCCGCCCAGGGUCCCUCGCUUUCAAUCCCGACACACCUCGACGCCUUUCAACGCCGCUUCUGACGCCUUUCAACUCCACCCCGACGUCGCUUCGUAUCGAACGCUGCCGAAGGUGCGCAAGGACCAAUCGCAGCGCGCGGCGGCGCUCGAGCGCGAGCGCGAGGCGGACGAGCUCCGCGCGACGCUGAUCGAGUACAACUUGGAGCGCGUCGACGUGGCGCUGGCGGCGGUGAACAACGCGCUCGCGGGCGGGAUGGGCUGGGGCGAUUUAGAGAUCAUGAUUCGCGAGGAGACGAGAGCCGGGAACCCGGUGGCGGGGACGAUCAAGAGUUUGGACUUGGCGAACAACAAGAUCACGGUGACGCUCGCGAACCACCUCGACGACGACGAGGAUGACGAGGACGAGGAGGAGGAGGAUGGGGAGGAUGAGGAUAAGGAUGGGGACGAAGACGACGCGGGCGAGGGCGACGACGAGAAGAGCUCCGAGCGGAAACGAAAACAACAACAGAAGAAACUGCGACGGAAGAGAAGAAAAGCCGUCGCCGUCGAGCUCGACCUGUCGCUGUCCGCGUACGCCAACGCGCGGACGCACUUCGAGAAGAAGAAGAAGCACGCGACGAAGCACGACAAGACGCUCGCGCAGACGGAGCGCGCGGUCGCGGCGGCGGAGAAGAAGGCCAAGGCGGACUUCGCGCGCGUGCGGGCGCGUCCCACACACUGGUCCCCAUACGACCGCGUCGGCGUGGUGAACGCCGAUCCUUAAGGACUUUUCCCGUCGUCACUCUUCACCCGCGCUUCCCUUUCAACGUUUGACCGGUACGUAAGACGUUCGACUGACCGAUCGCUUCACCCACGCAGGCGACGGCCAAGGGCGAGGCGACGAAGACGCGAGAGACGUUUUGGUUCGAGAAAUUUUGGUGGUUCGUCACGACGGAGAACUGCCUGGUCGUGUCCGCGCGCGACGCGGCGCAGACGGACGCGAUGUUGAAGAAAUACGUGAGCCGGGACUCGGACGCGAUCGUGCACGCGGACGUCGCCGGCGCGCCGCUGACGCUCGUGAAGGCGCCGCCGGGGAGCUCCGUCGUCGUCGGCGGCGGCGGCGGCGGCGGCGGCGCGGGAUGGUGCAACGGCGUGCCUCCCGCGUCGCUCGCGCAAGCCGGGGCGGCGUGCCUGUGCCGCUCGAACGCGUGGGACUCGCGGCAGGUGAUCAGCGCGUGGUACGUCAAGCCGGAGCAGAUUCGGAAGGAAACGCCCGAGGGGGAGCCGUUACUAAACGGCGUCGUGUGGACCGUGGGAAAGAAGACGUUUCUUCCCCCGGCGCCGCUCGUCAUGGGCUUCGCGUACAUGUUCGUCUUGGGGGACGACGCGAGCGUGGAGGCGCACGCGGGGGAUCGCGUGGUGAAGCAGCAGAUGGCGGCGCUAGGUAACGCCGACGGCGAGGGCGUUACAGAGGACGCGGAAGAGGAGGAGGAGGAGGUGGAGGAGGAGGUUGUCGAGAGUGUCGAGGUUGAAGACGACGCGACCCCCGACGACGCCGACGCCGACGCCGACGCAGACGCCGCGCCGGCGCCGUCGUCGAGUCGAUUAGAAGCCUUCUUAGACGGCGGCGUCGACUUCGCCGCCGCGAGGAUGGACGCGAUGUCGUUAGAGGAGGAGACCAAGGCGGCGGGGGAAAAGGGAGAAGACGCAGAAGCCUCAGCCUCGGCGCCGAAGGAGGGCACGAAGCGCAUGUCCGCGAAGGAGCGCCGCGAAGCGAAGAAGAAGCGCGACAAAGCGGCGGGCGGCGGCGGCGGCGACGACGACGACGACGUGGACGUGGAGGUGGACGACGACGACGAUGACGACGACGCGCGACGACGCGGGGGGAAACAGAAACAGAAACAGGAACAGGAACAGAAACAGGAACAGAAACAGGAACAGAAACAGAAACAACGCGAGAAGCGCGCGCCGCUUCCUCGCGGCAAGUCGUCCAAGGCGAAGCGCGCGCAGGCGAAAUACGCGGACCAGGACGACGAAGACCGAGAGCUCGCGAUCGCGCUCAUGGCCGCCGCGGGGGGUAAAGGCGGGGGCGGCAAGCGCGGUGGUGGUAAGAAGGGCGGCGGCGGCGACGGCGACGGGUCAGACGGCGACGGCGACGGCGGUCGCGAGCGCGCGGCGGCGACGCGGGAGCGGAAGCAGAAGCAGAAUCGCGCCGAGCGGAAGCAGAAGCCACCGAGCGACGACGCGGACGACGCCGCCGCCGAUGGCCACCACGGGCGUCAUGACAGCAACGACGCCACCAGCGCGACUCCGGUCGCUACUGCGCCGCCUUCGUACCUCGCGGAUCCGACGCCGGCGUCGACGGAGGAGAACGACGCGCGCGCGUCGCUCGCCGAUCGCCUCACCGGCGCGCCGCUCCCCGCGGACGUUAUAACGCACGCGAUCCCAAUCGUCGCGCCGUACGCGGCGCUUCAGACGUACCGGUACAAGCUGAAGCUCACGCCCGGGAGCCAGAAGAAGGGCAAGGCGGCGAGGCAGGCGAUGGACGUGUUGCGGAGGGCGCCGGCGGCGCCGCCCGGGAGCGGCGAGGAAGUAAAAAUAUUGGACGCGCGAUCGCGGGAUAUCAUGUCCAAGACGGACGGCGGCGUCGGCGGGGACGUCGCGCAGAUCAUGUGCGGCGGCGGCGUGAAGAUAUCCCUUCCCGCGGGCGCGGCGAAGGCGAUGAACGCGCAGAGGAAGGGCGGCGGCAAGGGCAAGGGCGGCGGCAAGGGGUGACGAGACGACGACCGACGGCACAAAAGAACUCUAGAGACAACUUCAGUCGUCUCACAACAGAUAACAGAUCAUCAAAACGAAAUACCCAAAAUACAUACUGUACGCCCACCCUGCUCUCCCUCUCGUCGCCCGCCCACGUCGCGCGACGCUCACCACGACGUACUGUAGGCUACCUCCCGCCGCGUCGCUGGUCCAUCGCCGCGGCGUCCAUCAUCGCGUUCAGCUCGUCGUUCUGAUGAGGGGCAUUCCAUACAAAAAUAGUUCAUCGGUCAGUUGAAAAAAGACGCGAUCAAAUGUUGAAACCGGGCGAUGGGUGAAAAACGUUUGUAAGAACGCACCUGAACGUUCUCCACCAUCCCUAUGCCCCUCGCGUUUCUCGCCAUGUUUCGAAUGCUCACCGCCGCCCUGUCGGUCGUCGAGGAAGGGGUGAAAGCGACGUAUCUAUCGGUCAGUCCACCGGGACGGUCGCGGUCGAACACGUCCAUCUCGAAACCGAGCGGCUGGCGCGGGUUCGAAGGAAGGAACGACGUUCAGCGGAAGCGGUCUCGAAAAGAAUCUCUCAUCUCACCUGUCCGCGCACUGCUUCUCGAAGUCCGUGGUCACCGAGUACAGCGUCGUGACGACGAACGCGCACCCGCCGAAGACGACCAUGAGCCCGAUCAGCGCGAACGGGUUGGCGUACAGAGGCGUCAGCGCGAUGAGAACGCCGCCGAACGCGCUCCAACCGCCGAGGAACAACGACAGCACGGGCAGUUCCACGAAGCCUCCGAACUCGUGGAACCACCGCGGCAGGUUCUGUGCGGGCGGUGAGUGGUCGAGGGGAGACACGUGUCAUUUACGAAGGGAUUUGAUUGGUGGACGGCAUGUACACGUGUCAAAACGAACGUGAGGUUCACGGCGAAGAAUGUCACCUGCGGCGCGCACUUGGACACCUUGUUGAGGAGUAUGGUCCCGCUGAACGCCGCCGUGCUGUUGAACGCGAACGCCAGGGACCACGUCACGGAGUACGUCGUCGUCCACGGGUCGCCCGCGCUGAGCACGCUGUUUACGGGGAAUAAGAUCGCGAAGCCGCUCAGGGACGCGAACAGGCCGGAGAGAAGGACGGUGUUCUCCCACAGUCGCGACGCGGCUUCGCCGACGCCGCUGCAAAUGAUGGGCGGAUGGUGAUGACGCGGAGGGACGCGGUUGGUCAGUCGUCGAUGACGUGGCACAACGUGUGGUUGGCCGUCGUCGCAUGGUUGGACGCGGUCGAUAGAAUACGACCAUGCGAUGCGAAGACGGGCGCGCGCGCGCCUGAAACCCUGGAACCCGCUGAACGGGAGCCACCACUUCAGCCCGAACGUGAAGUGUUUACGAAGCGAAUCGAUGCUCGCGAGGUCGUCGCUGAGGGUCGUUCCAUACAAAGCGAUGUCGGGGUGGAGUUCAUAGGCGUCAGGUGGAGUUGAAAGGCGUCGAGGGCGGGGAUUGAAAGCGAGGGGUGGGCGGAGAGACACGCCGGGAAAAGUCCUUAAGGAUCGGCGUUCACCACGCGAACGCGGUCGUAUGGGGACCAGUGUAUAGAACGCGCCUGAGCGUGCCCUUCGAGACGACGCGCCGCGGCGCCGGUCGCGGCGGUCGCGCGCCGGUCGGGCCGGGCUCGAGCGCGCCGCCUCUAUCGCCGUCGAACGCGGGGACGAGCGCGACGUCGUCGUCGUCCGAGGCGGCGGCGACGACGCGGACGCGAUGCCCCGCGGCGACGCGACCAGUAGGGGAGAAAGUUGACAUUCUUCGCGAUUCCGUCGUAGUCGUCCAUCGGAACGGCCGUCGAGGCGCCGCCGCCGCCGCCGCGCGCGUCGGCUCGCCGCGACGCUUCGGUCGACGGCAAACGGCGGCUUCCGCGGACGGCGCGGGAAGCGCCGCGCGCGAGAGGACGAACAUCGUGCCGAACGACGACGCGCGGCGUGCGGUAUGCGGCGCGCGACGGCAGCGGAGGUCGUUCGUUAUCGAUAUCUAUGACACACGACGACUGCGACUCGGCACUUCCGUCGCGAACGCCCCUACUCCCCGCCAUCGCAUCUCAUCACUCGCUCGCCGCGCGCCCGUCGCGAUGGCGCCCGCGUCGCCGCGUCGGAGCGCGCGACGCCGCCAGGGCGUCGACGAGUUCGGAAGAGCGCUUCGCGACCGCUCGCCGAGCCCGGAGAGCCCGCCCCGGCGCGACGCGCGCGACGGGUACACGUCCAGAUCCGCGAGCCCCCGUCGGCAUCAUCAUCGUCGUCGCCGCGCGUCGCCGCCGCCGUUCGAAAGAGACGACGCCUCGCGCCAGCAGCAGCGCGGGCUCGGGUACGCCGAGCCCGAAGGAUGCCGCGACGGUCACGACGACGACCGCGACGACGCGCCGAACGCGCACAGAGCGGACGGGCUCCUCCGCGCGGGGCCGCGCGAUGAUGGCAUUCAUCGGCGCGGCGACCAGCACGACCGUCGUCGCGGCCGCGAUGAUGAGAUCUCGUCGUCGAAGAGGAAGCGCGGGGGGAGCCCGUCGCGCUCGACGCGCGCGAUCCCGGAGGAGGCCGCCGCCGGUUCGAUCCCCGCCGACGCCGCGAUGCCCGCGGAGGGGCCCGGGCGGCACCAGGCGCUCAUGCCGCCGCCGCCGAAGCCGCGACGCGUCAGGGAUCCGAUCGUCAACCUCGGGUGGACCGCGGAGUCGGGGAUCGCGGGGUACAGGCGCGUUCUCAUCCAUCACACUGGUCCCCGUACGACCGCGUCGGCGUGGUGAACGCCGAUCCUUAAGGAUUUUAUUAUCUCCCGGCGGCGCAUCUCUCCUCCCAGGGUCCCUCGCAACUUUCAACGCCCGCCCUCGACGCCUUUCAACUCCGCCGCUUCUGACGCCUUUGAACUCCACCCCGAAAUCAUCGCUCGUACGGACCCUCGACCCUCAGACAGCGGCCGGAGAUCAAGGACGUCAGCGGCGCGUCGCUGGACGAGAGGACGCUGGUACCGCUGAGGGAGAGUUUGGAGGAAGAGCGGAGGAAGGCGAGGGAGGAGAAGGAGGUCGCGCUCGAGGCGGCGAGGAGGGUGAGUUUGGUAGGCGGCGAAGGAGAGGGCGGAGAAGAGGCAGAAGAAAAAAACCAAAAAAACCAAAAGGACCAAAACCAAAACGCCGCCGCGGGCGCCGCCGCCGCCGUCGAUCCCAUGGCGCUCCUCGAGGCGAUGCCGAAGAAGCAGCGCCUCGGCGGCUCGCGCGGAAAAGCCCUCCGCGAGGAGCUGCGGCAGUUCGGGAAGAGCGAGCGGAGCAAGAACGAGGGCGUGGACGAGCGCGCGCGGAGGGAUCAGGCGGCGCGUCUGGACACGUCCAGAAGGGCGGUGACGGCGGCGUUGGAGAGAAAAGCGAAGCUGUACGAAAAGUUGAGCCGCGGGGAUUUCGGCGGGGACGACGUCGACGUCGCGCGGUUCGACGUGGACUUCGAGAUGAAAGCCAGGGAGGAGAGGCGCUUGAGGGAGGAGAGUGCGAACGAUAAUCGUAACGGUGACGCGUCGACGGUUACGGGAGCGGCGGAGGGCCCGCGGCGGACGACUUCGAAGCCGUGGAAACCCGUCGUCGCGCCGAACGGAAAGACGUACUACUGGAACGUGAUCGACGGCGCCACGACGUGGUGCGUCCUGUCAUCACACUGGUCCCCAUACGACCGCGUCGGCGUGGUGAACGCCAAUCCUUAAGGACUUUGCCCGGCGCAUCUCUCCGCUCACGCCUCGGUUUCAAUCCCCGACCUCGACGCCUUUCAACUCCAUCUGACGCCUAUGAACUCCACCCCAGGACGCUGCCGCCGCGCGGGACGAUCAUGGACGUCGUCGACGACGACGCGUGGAACCCCAAAGGAAAAGACGACGGUCAUCACGGCGACGACGGUCAUCGCGGCGGAAGAAGAAAGAAGAAGGAAGCGUUGCACUACGCAGGCGAAAUCUCCUACACCGAGCGCGAAGACCGUCGGAGGCGAGCCAUCGAGGACGAGGCGCGACGCCGCGCCGAGACGGGGGACUGGCGCGACGACGACGGCGACGGUGACGGCGGCGGUCGCCCCCCGCGCGUGGACUACGUCGCGAAGACACGGGAGGAGGAGGAGGCGGAGGAGGAGAAGCGCGAGGCGCAUCGCGCGGCGAUUCGGAGGAUCAACCACGAGACGGAACGCGCGAGGGAGGCGCACCGGGUGAAGGUGGAGAGCGAGCGGUGAGACUGCUUCCCAUACGACCCCGUUCGCGUGGUGCACGCCGUUCCUUAAGGACUUUUCCCGUCGUCAAUCUUCACCCGCGCUUCCCUUUCAACGUUUGACCGGUAAGACGUUCGACUGACCGAUCGCUUGACCCACGCAGCGAGCGAGAGAAGGCGGCGUUCGUAGCGCGGAAACUCGGGUGGGAUCCGAGCGCCGCGCCGGGGUUGCUGGCGUCCAUCAAGAACAGCGCGGAGUACCGCGCGAUGAUGAUGGAACGGAGUACCGCGCGGGUCCCGGAUCGGAAGGAUACGACGGAAGAAGAAACGCCCGAGGGGGAGCCGUUAUUACCGGGGGACGCGCGCGCGGAGGCGGAGAGCUUCUUGGAGGGGCUCGCGAACGGCGAGUAGCUAGUCUAGCGACGACGAGCGCGCGCCUGCCUUUCAACUCCGACCGACGCCCGCCUUUGAACUCGAACAACGAACAACUCCACCCCGACGACGUCGCCUCCCUCGCGUGGAACAGCCCUCCAGCCUCUCUCAGUCUUCGUCGCUGUCGGAGAAGAUGGCGCCGCCGCGGCGCACCGUCUUCGCGGCGACGGGCGCGGGCGCGGUGGGCUGAACAAACUCGUCGUCGUCCUCUUUCUCUUCCUCCUCCGCCUCCGCGUCGCUGUCGAAGAAGACGUCUUCCGGUUUCGCGUCCUCCUCCUCCUCCUCCUCCGCCGGCGCCGCCGCGGGCGCGGGCGCGGGCUUCGGUCUCGGAGGCGUCGUCGUCUUCUUCUUUUGUUUCAUCGGAACCACUUCCUCGUCAUCGUCGUCGUCCUUCUCCUCCUCUUCCUCCUCCUCCUCCUCGUCCUCGUCGCUGCCGCCGAGCUCCUUCAGCCCCUUCCCCUUGAGCGUCUUCUCGAAGUCAUCGUCGCUCGCGUCGUCGUCGUCGCUCUCGCUGCUGCUGCUGCUGCUGCUCUCGGUGCCGCUCCCCUCCUCGCUCUCCUCCUCGCUCGCGGUGCCGCCGGCGGCUUCUUCGCCUUCUUCUUCGCCUUCUCUCUUCGUCCGGGGUCGCUCCUCCGGGCUUCUCGUCUUCUUCCGCUUCUUCGUCUUGUCUCUCUUGCCGUUCAACGCGGCGUAGUCGAUCUUCUCGCCCCACUGGUUCGUCGUCGCCGCCGCGCGUCGUCGACCGCCCUCGACGAUGUUGCUGGCGUCGAUGCCGUCGAGGUCCUUCUCUUUUUCUCUCCGCGCCUUGACGCGACCGAUCGCCGCCGCGUCUGGACGUGUCGUGACAUUUGUCGGGAUGGGAUUCGUCAGUAAAAUCGUUAAGCGUUCGGGGGCCAACGAGAACAGAGAGAAGCGAGGUGACGUGGACGAUCGCGCGGUCAGGAACGCACCCGAGCGAAGCGACAGCCCCGCGUCGGCGAGGAUGCCGGCGAGCGCGUCUUCUCUCGCUUCGUCCGUCUUGUGCUUCAUGAAGACGUGCUGGUACGUCAGGCCCGCGCGCUUGCACACGUCUCGGAGCUUCGCGGUCGUCGCGGACAUCGGCGCGGCGGCGGCGGAGGACGGUUUCGGUUUCGGUUUCGGUUUCGGUUUCGGUUUCGUCGUCGGUCUCGGCGCGGUCUUCUUCUUCGACGCCUUAGCCAUCUUCCGCUUCUUCGCCCUCGACGCGUCGUCGUCUUCCGAGGCAUCGUCGGAGGCGUCGUCCGAGGCGUCGUCAGAGUCGGAGCCGGAGCCGUCGUCCUCCUCCUCGGACUCCUCGUCCGUCUCCUCCUCGGACGCCGCCGCCUCCUCCUCCUCCUCGUCGUCGGAGUCGUACUUCAUCCGGCGCGGCUUCGACGGCUUCGAAUGAGAGCGCGACGCCGACGACCCCCUCCGCUCCUUCUGAAGGUGCUUCAACACCGCGGGGGACACCUUCUUCUUCGAGCUCGUCGGCGGCGUCUUCGCCUUCGCCUUCUUCUUCGCGACCACUCCCGCGUUCUCCUUCUCCCCCUCCUCCCCAUCAUCCUCCUCCUCCGCGCUCGCGAGGACGCGGUCGACGUACUUGCUCACCGUCUCCUUGUGCGCGUCGAGCGCUCUCUCGUCGAGCGCGAGAUCUCGUUCGAUGAGCCGUCGCGCGAGCUUCAUCGUGAGCGUCGCGGAGGACUUGAGGAAGUACUCCUUGCGGGCGUAUAUCGCGCGCUUGAUGGACGCGGGGUGCGUCGGCGACAUGACGAUGGCGAUCGAUUGAUUCGCGGGGAGGGCGGCGGGUGGGGCGACGGGGGGCGGGGCGACAGGCGGCGCGUCGGAUUUUAAAAUCAGAGAUGGUGCGUCAGCGAGAUCAAGACAAGACAGCCAACCACGCGAGUACUACUGUACUCGUAGCGCGCGAGAACACAUCGCGGCGCGCGGAGGGAGGACGCGCUUCGCGCUUCGCGUCGGUCGAGUCGCGCGGGGUUCAUCCUCCUCCUCCUUCUCCUCGCGGCGAUGCUGUCGUUCGACGCGUUCGCGGCGCGCGUGCGGCCGCACGCGUGCGACGACGGCGGCGGCGGCGACGACGACGACGCGACGGAGAAAAGCGGCGGACAUCACCAUCCGAUGCCCCAUCUUCGUCCAUUACCUCCGUCCUCCUCCUCCGCGCCGCCGCCGCCGCCGCUGCUCGCGACGCUGGACGACGCGUACGACGUGUACGUCAACGCGCACGGCACGGGGCUGUGGUUCGACGCGAACCCGCUGUGGGAGCCAAAAGUGGGGUGCUACUACCUCCGCCUGGAACCGGAGAAGGCGCCGACGCGGACGCGACGCGUGAAAGACCGCGAGCUCGAACGGCGGCGCCGAUCGACGAUGGGGUCAACUUCGGUCGACGCGGGGGAUCCUCAGAGUCACCNNNNNNNNNNNNNNNNNNNNNNNNNNNNNNNNNNNNNNNNNNNNNNNNNNNNNNNNNNNNNNNNNNNNNNNNNNNNNNNNNNNNNNNNNNNNNNNNNNNNGCGGUCGACUCUGAGGAUCCCCCCGCGGGGACGGGGACGGGGACGGGGACGGGGACGGGGACGGGGACGGGGACGGGGACGGGGACGGGGACGGGGACGGGGACGGGGACGGGGACGGGGACGAGCGGCGGGGAUUCGGAUCCGAUGAAAUCCAAAAACGACGGCGUGUGGCGAGGCGGCGACCCGGUCCCGCCCGUGCACGUGUCCUUGGCGCUCGUGGACGCGGACGGCACGGUCGUGACGCUGUCCAUCGCGCGCGGGUUGUUGGAACCGGAGGAGCCGCCCGGGGAGAAGACCGGGGACGAGGGCGACGACGACGACGACGACGGCGGCGGCGGCGGCGACGACGACGGCGGCGGCGACGGCGACGACGGCGGCGGCGGCGGCGCGCCGGGCGGCGGCGGAUGGAACGGGAACAUCCCUUCCAUAGGCCGGGGCGGGCUCUCCGACGACGAGGACGACCUCGAGGAGAUGCCGCUCGAGUGACGGCGGCACCGGGAGCGUCGAUCGAUAUCGAUGAUAUCUCCUGUCGGCUAUCUAAGGUUAUAUUCUUUUAGAAAAACGAGUAGACUACGACAACGCGUGAUGAACCGCCGCCCUCGUUCGACUCAUCAUACAUCUACGACGACUCCCGCUGCUUCGCGAGGACGAAGACGUUCCCCUGAUUCGUCCGCAGCACACGUAACGCCUCCGACGCAUGCGUUACCGUCCACGUCCCCGCGCGCCCUUUCGGAAACGGCUUCGCGAAGACGUCCCUUCCGAACACCUCCGCGGUGACGUCCUCGAACGUCACCUUCAACGUCGUCGGCUUCUUCGCGACACCCUCCGCGACCGCGCGCAGCUUUAAUCGCGCGGGGCCGAACGUCACGAUGUUCGCGUACGUACUCCCCGAGCCAGGCUUCUUAGGGUCCGCGUCUGCGUCGAAUAUUUGCGUCACCGCGCCGACGAACGGCCCGAUCUUCCCGCUGCUGUUGCCCUGAGGGUCGCUCCAUACAAACCGAUGUCGGGGUGGAGUUGAAAGGCGUCAGUCGGAGUCGAAAGGCGUCGAGGGCGGGGAUUGAAAGCGGGGGAUGGGCGGAGGGACACGCCGGGAAAAGUCCUCAAGGAUCGGCGUCCACCACGCCAACGCGGUCGUAUGGGGACCAGUUUGAGAUAGAACGCACCUGGCUGUCCGUGUACACGAGAUCCCACGCCGUGCCCGCGAGAUCGACCGCCGCGGUGUCGCGCGUCGGGUUGAGCGCGUCGAUCUCGGCGAUGAUACGCGCGAUGGACGCGCGCUGGGUCUCGUCGCGGUCGACGCCGUUCGCGUCGCCAGCCUCCGCGCGGAGGCGACCCGCGAGCGCCGCGAUCUGCGUGGACGCCGUCGCGUCGGACGACGACGACGACGACGCGAUCGCGGACGAGCGGCGUCGCGCGCGCGACGACGCCGGCGACGGGCGCCGGCGCGACGACGGCGACGGCGACGAUCGCGACGAUCGCGACGGCGCGACGGCGGGGAGCGCGAGGGACGCGACGGCGGCGCGCAUGACGACGACGACACGGCGCGGCCACCGACUGGACAGUCGCGCUGCGAUUUUUUGGAUAAAAUUAAUUUAUCAACCCAAAAAUGUUGAGAGGAAGACUGGAGGAGCGCCAGAGGCUCUCAUGAUAUGAACUACGCGUACAUAUUCUAUCACACAUCACGUAUCAUGAUAUCCAUAUCAUAGUCUACUAUCGCGUCGUCCGUCCGUCAGGGUGCUCACAGCUCACAGCUCACAGCUCACAGCUUACUGCGCGCCUUGUCGUCGCCGACGCGCCUCACGUCGCCGCGUCGAACGUCCCAGUCGCCGCCCGCGCCUUAGGGUCGUUCCAUACGAAGCGAUGUCGGGGUGAAGUUCAAAGGCGUCAGAAGCGGAGUUGAAAGGCGUCGAGGACGGGGAUUGAAACCGAGGGGUCGGCGGAGAGAGACGACGGCAAAGUCCUUAAGGAUCGGCGUUCACCACGCCGACGCGGUCGUAUGGGAACCAGUGUGAGAUGGGACGCGCCGUGCCCCCCCUCCUCCGCUCCCGGCGCCAACAGCCGCGGCGGCUCCACCGCUGGAUCGCAUCGGUACUCGAUCAGGUCUUCAUCGGUCGCGCCGAUGUCGCGGAGGUACUCGUCGUCGAUCAACUGCGCGCCGUUGACCGCGGCGGGGUGGCCGCGAGGCGCGCACAGGUGCACGACGCAGUCCGCGAGGAUGGUCGCCUUCCUCCACCCUGAUGAGCGUCGACGGUCGGGGUGGAGUUGAAAGGCGUCAGAAUCGGAGUUGAAAGGCAUCGCGAUGAUCGGGCGUUGAAACCGAGGGACCCUGGGCGGAGAGAAAUGACCGACCGCCGGGAGAGAAAGUCCUUAAGGAUCGGCGUUCACCACGCCGACGCGGUCGUAUGGGGACCAGUGUGAGAGAUAGAAGAACGCGCCUGACUUUUCUCCGAGUUGAAAGUUUUCCGACGCGAGCGACUCGACGACGGUGGCGGGCCACAGCGCGUUUCCGGUGACGCUCGUCGUCGCGUCGUCGUCGUCGGACGACGCGCCGGCGCCGCCGACGCCCACAGAGUGUCGGACACCGAGUGUCGGAGAAUGCUGUGAUUCAUUCUCCGACGCUUUCAUCACUUUAUUCUUCUUCUCCGACGCUUUCGCUUUCGCCGCCAUCUUCUCUCCCUCCGCGGCGGCGCCCAACGCCACCAUCGUCAUCCCGCACUGAGGGUCGUUCCAUACAAAGCGAUGUCGGGGUGGAGUUCAAAGGCGUCAGAUGGAGUUGAAAGGCAACGCGGGCGGGGAUUGACCGCAAGGGAUGGGCGGAGAGUUGCGCCGGGCAAAGUCCUUAAGGAUCGGCGUUCACCACGCGAUCGCGGCCGUAUGGGGACCAGUGUAAGGAAAUCGCGCCUUGCUCAUGUAGUACGCGGUCUUCCCCGCGUACGCUCUGUACGCGUUGUCGUGGCCGGUAGGAAUAGGCGGGCCCAUGCAGAUCACGCGGCCGUACCCGUUCGCGUACAUGUGCGGAAGGCACUCGCGCGUCCUGCGGUUGGAUGAAAACGCGCGGCGAGCGGGCGGUCAGUCUUUCUCGGGUCAUCGGAGAGGUCGCCGACGCCGAACGAUUGGCCGGACGCGCACACGUGGCGUUCUUUCGUUCGUCCACGUGGACGGCGGCGCGUCGGGUCACCGGCGGCGUGACGAGUCAGUCGAGUCAGUCACCGACUACGCACAUGAUGAACGCCCCGCGCGCGUUGAUGCUCUGAAUCAGGUCGUACUUCUUCGUCGGCGUCUCCGUGAUGGAAUGCCACCACAGCGCGGAUGCGUUGUUCACCAGAACGUCCACCCUGCCGUACGUCUCUAUGGUCUUGGAAACGCACGCGAUGCAUGCGUUUUCAUCCCGUAAGUCCAGGACGACCGGCAGCGCGUCGCCGCCGAGCGCCUUUAUCUCGUCCGCGACCGUAUAGAUCGUCCCCGGCAGCGUCGGCUGCGGCGUCGCGCUCUUCGCGGCGACCACGACCGCGCAUCCCGCGCGCGCGAGCGCGAGCGCGCACUCGCGCCCGAUGCCUCUGGACGCGCCGGUCACGAUCGCGACCUUGCCCCCGAGGUUCGGACGGGGAGGGAGCGGCAUCAGUGAGAGGGAAGGAGGCGGAGGGAGGGAGGGAGGGGGGAGGACGGCGGCGGCGAGACGCGCGCGUCGACGUGUGAUGAUGAUGAUGAUGGGUGGACGACGACGUGGCCGCGAGUCUGGAUGCUGGAGUCGGCACCGCGGCGCAGACUGGGCCGGUGGUCGACCGGCCGCUGGCGCGCGAAAAGUCGAUUUUUUCGCCCCGGCGCGGAUGAGACGCACAAAUCUCGCCGCCGCGUCCUCCUCCUCCUCCUCCUCCUCCCUCCUCCCGCCGCGUCGUCAUCGUCGCCGCGUCAUGGCGUCGUUCCAGGACGCGGAGGACGAGGCGCGAAAGGCGAUCGCGGACGGGUUCGAGAUGUGCGUUCCCUUCGUCGUCGUUCAAAAAGAUCGAAUCGAGAUCGAGUCGAGUCGAGUCUCAUCAUAUUCAUCGCGCGUCGUCGUCCUCCUCCUCCUCCUCCUCCUCCUCCUCCUCCUCCUCCUUCGCCCGUCCCUCCGUCCGACGCCCUCCCCAAACUCCACCCACCCCGCGACGCACGCAGCCGCGCGAUGAACAUGCGCGACGCGGAGACGGGCGAGAUGAUGUGGGAGAAGCACGCGUGGCCUUCCGCGUGGCGGAGCGAGGAGGUGGAGGCGCGCAUUCCCGCGGACGUCAUGAAUCGCGCGGCGGUGAGCCGAGAGAUGACGUUCUCGUCGGCGGCGGCGAUCGACGACUUCAGGGUGAGCGCGCGCCUCCACCGCGUCUUAGGAUCGCGAGGUGCCCGCGCGAUUCUUAAGGACUCGGAUUCGUCCCACUCCUCGCGCGUCGUCCUCCGUCCCCGACGUCCGCUGACGCCCUCUCCCGACCGCGCGACCAAAAAAUUCAAUCCGUUCCUUCGUUCGACAGUUGCGACAGCGCGUCUACCUCGGCGAGCACUGCAUCGAAGAGUGGGACUUCGACUUCGGGUUCGUGAUCCCGGGCAGCGUCAACACGUGGCAGACGACGAUCGAGAGCGCGGGCGAGGGCGCGAUGUUAGACCCGACGCAGAUAAGCGGAUUAGGUGCGUUCUAUACACUGGUCCCCAUACGACCGCGUUCGCGUUGUGAACGCCGAUCCUUAAGGACUUUGCCCGGCGCAUCUCUCCGCCCAUCCCUCGCUUUCAAUCCCCGCCCUCGACGCCUUUCAACUCCAACUGACGCCUUUGAACUCCACCCCGACAUUCGCUCGUAUGGAACGGCCCUUAGUGUGCAUCGAGACGAGUUUUUUGGACGGCGACGUCGUCUUCAACAAGAGCGUCGUUCGCGUGUAUUAUGAGCAGUACGACUAGCUCGUGACGACUAGCUCUGACGACUAGCUCGUCUACGGAGGGGGGGUACAGUAUUAAUUAGUAGGGUUUAGAAGCGGUGGGGUGGUGGUUUUAUGUUGGAUGGAUGGAUUCUUUCGUCGUUCGUCGUUACUUAAAGAAGAUAAAAACGCUCUACAUCGACGCGUUCGGGUACAUAUUACCUUCGUAUCAAAUCUCCACGCCCGCUCGGAACGCCUUGCGCAACCCGUCGUCGACGCCGCCGCGAAUCUUCCUCAGCUCCGCCGACGCGUCCGCCACCUUCGCGCGCAGCGACAGCGCGUGCUUCGACGGCAGCGACCGGAGCUCGUCGAGGACGAGGUUCGCCUUGCUCUCGUCCCUCGCGUUCGCCGCGCCCUGCGGGUGUGAUGGAGGGGGCGUCGUGUGAUGAGGGACGGUGGGGGUUCGGUCGGAGGGUCCAUCGAUGAUGGAUGAUGGAUGAGACUACCCCCAGCUCCUUAAGGAACGGCGUUCACCUCGCGCGUGCGGUCGUAUGGGGACCAGUCUGAAUAAUGAACGAAACGAAACCGAACGCGGCGCGCACCAAUCGUUUCAGCUCUUUCGCCGCCGCUCGCAGCUUGCUCCUGCCGCGGCUCAUCUCCUCCUCCGCGAUCGCCGCCGCCUCUCUCGCCUUCGCCAGCUCCCCCGCUCUCCCCUCCGCGGCGUGCGCGAGCGACUCGUACGCGCGCGUCGCUCGGUUGAAGAGGAACUCUUCGCUCUGCAGUCGCCCGAACGUCGCGCGCCACAGCAGCGCGCGCGUCCCCGGAAGCGCCAGCGACGCGACCGCGACCGCGCCUGCCGCGGUCGCGUACGGCGCGCGCGUCACCGCGCUCGUCGCGAUCGCGGUGGGGCGCUCGAAGAACCUGGACUCGAUUUCUCUCGCGGCGGUCUCCACCGCGUCGAGGCGCGAUCGCGCGACCGCGAUCUGCGCGCUGGCAACCUCCGUCGCCACCGCGACUCGAGUGGACCCGAUCCGAACGAUCGAGCUCACGGCGGAGUCCACGACGUUCGACGCGGUGGCCGCGCCGGGGAGCGCGCCCGCGACGGCGUCGAGGACGUCGCGGACCGGGGGGGGGAGCUCCAUCGAGGCGCGGGCGCGCGGCGGGCGCGGCGCGCGGCGAGGAAGUGAGCGAAGGGCGGGCUCGACGAUGAAACUCGAGCUCGAACAGAACGAAACGACGGCCGCUCGCGCGCUCCUGUUAGCCUGUCGUUGACAGCUUGCACUUCUCGCAGUCCGAGAAUCCAUCCGCGUCGACGCCGCAUUCCCCUCGUCGCGCGCGCCGCGCCGCGCGCUCGCGUCGCACCGCGGCGAGCGACCAUGGGGAAGGACCGCGAUCGCGCGUCGCGGUUCACGUCGACCGGAGGAGACGGUGCGCGUCCUGUCCUCCCGUCGUUCUCAUCACUCCCCGCGUUAUUCGCUCUCGUCGACGCCGCCAUUCAUUUCGUUCGCACGCUCGCUCGCUCGCUCGCUCACCGUCCGUCCGUCCAUCGCGCGCCCUCUUCCCUCUCUCCGACAGCAGACGCGGCGGCGAAAGUAGGAGCGAAGAAGCGGAAGCAAAAGUCCGCGCUGUCGCUCGACGCCUUCGCGCGCGCGAAGAAGAGCACGUACGACAAGCGCGUCGUCCUCGAGAAGAGGCGCGCGCUCGCCGCAGCGCGCGUGAACAAAUUCCGCAAGGUGCAGAAGCGACUGGGAAGCUCCGUCGACGUCGACGACGCGUUCGACCCCGCCGCGAUCGCCGCGCGCUUGGAGCAGACGGACGCCAUCGUCGGCGUCGGCGUGGGAGGGGGAGGGAACAGAGUUGGAGGGGGGGGACGCGCGGACGACGGCGCCGGCGGAGGGGAGACGAGAACGAAGAAGAAGAAGAAGAAAAAGAAGGAGGAGGAGGAGGACGAGGUCGCCGCCGCCUCCGCCUCCGACUCAGGUGCGUUCUAUACACUGGUCCCCAUACGACCGCGUUGGCGUGGUGAACGCCGAUCCUUAAGGACUUUGCCCAGCGCAUCUCUCCGCCCACCCCUCGCUUUCAUUCCCCGCCCUCGACGCCUUUCAACUCCACCUGACGCCUUUGAACUCCACCCCGACAUUCGCUUGUAUAGAACGCCCCUCAUCAGACGACUCGGACGACGCGGAGUUCCGGAACAACGUCGUCGCGAAGGACGGCGACGGCGACGGCGACGACGACGACGACGAAGCGCAGACGGACGCGCGCGGGAACACCCCGGGCGCGAGCCGCCCGCCCGGUUCCAAGGGGUGGAACGCGACGCGAAAGAAGGGCAUCCGAGACGCCAAGGCGAGGGAGGACAAGGCGAGAGAGAUGACGGAGCUGCGCGCCAAAUGGGCGGAGGAAGAUAAGGCGCGUUCUGUUACCACACUGGUCCCCAUACGACCGCGCUGGCGUGGUAAACGCCGAUCCUUAAGGACUUUUAACCCCGGCGUUUCUCUCCGCCCACACCACGGUUUCAAUCCCGACACACCUCGACGCCUUUCAACUCCGCUUCUGAUGCCUUUCAACUCCACCCCGACGUUCGCUUUGUAUGGAACGACCCUAAGGGACGGAAGGCGUUCUUCGAGAAGAGGAAUAAGGAGCGCGGGAAUUUCCGGAAGAAGAACAGCAGAGGACAGCCGGUGAUGAAGCACAGGGUGGAUAAGAUCUUAGAGACGCUGACGCGCGAGGGGGGGGGCGGCGGCGGGGCGCGGUAGCGGCGGCGGCGGCGGCGUUUGGUUUUCGACCAUUUUUGGUUUUUAGGCACACCCCCGAGAAGAUCGUUUUUUUUGGCACCCGUCUCUAUCGCGUCACUCGCCGCCGCGCGGACGCCACGCGCCGCGCGCCGCGCGCAUCGGGGAACCCUACCCUACCUCACGCGCUCGCGUCGCCGCGGAAGACCGCCGGCGACGACGCGCGGAGCGCCCGGGCGACGCGGCGCGCGCGCGCCUCGGACGAACCGAUCUCGCGCCCGUCGGUUCGUUCGGUGAACUUUUUUCCGGUCCGGGGGUGCACACAUUCGUUCGCUCGAUCGAGCGCGCGUCGUCGUCAUGGACGCGGCCGUGAGAGGGAUCCUCCGCGAGGCGAACGGCGCGCUGACGACGGACCGCGCGGACGUGUACAAGCUGUGGGACUCCGCGCGCGCGCUGGGACGCCAUCUGCGAGCGGUCCGCGCGUCCGUGCUCCAGGCGGCGACAGCGUUGGGCAUCGAGCUGCCGACGAGAGAAGACGACGACGCGUCGGACGGCGACGGCGACGGCGACGGCGACGCGCGCGGCCGCGCGCGAGCGCGCGCGAACGCGAUGCCGCCGCCGCGAUUGAGGGAGCGCGGGGGGACCGGGAGCCGGACGGCGACGACGGCGGGCGGCGGCGGGGGCGGGGGGGUGACGUUGCCUCUCGACGGAACCGCGACGACGACGGACGACGGCGGCGGCGACGACGACGACGACGACGGUGAGAAAGAGGUGAACGACAUCACGGUCAUGGCGCCGCCGCGCGCGACCGCGGGGCACGCCGGGUAUCUACGACGCGGGGGCGGGCGCCCGAACGCGAACGCGGCUAGAAACCGAAACAACCGCGGCGGCGGCGGCGCGGUGUCCGUGUCGACCGCGCCGACGAAAGUCUACACGGCGGUCGGGUUGGCGGCGAACGCGCGCGUCGUCGCGCCCAAGCCGCCGCCGCCGCCGAACGCCGCCGCCGCCGCGGGACGUUCGGACGAGGACGCGACGACGACCGCGCCGAGGGCGACGGCGGCGGCGCCGCCGCCGAAGCGUCGGUCCGUCCGGAAGCGAUCGUCGGAGAAAUUGGAGUCGAACGGCGGGAACGGCGGCGGCGGUCGCAACGCCCGGAAACGCGCGAAGACGACGUCUUCUUCUUCAUUGUCGUCGUCCUCAGACGAUGACGCGUCCGACUCGGACGGCGCGGUGAGCGAGACGAGCGACGCGGACGCGGACGAGGAGGAGGACACGCCGCGACUGACGCAAUCUGAGGAGAGCGAGAUAAUAUCCGACAUCUCGCGCCGUCGCAUGGCGGACGCGAAGAGGAACCCGGGCGACCGCGCGUGCGCGCUGUGCCGCAAGCCUCUCGCGGGGACACCGCCGGCGCAGAUCGAGUGCGAGUUUACCCCCGGCGCGAAGAAAGGGGACAUCACGCUCGCGCAUUUGGAUUGCUUUUUGUACGCUCCGCGAUCCUGUCACGACGACGACGUGGUGCUCGAAGACGGCUCCUACAUGGCGAAGGGCAUAUUAAAAGAGAGUGAACGAGCAAAGCGUCUGAAGUGCUACGCGUGUAAGAAGACAGGCGCGUGCACAGGGUGCUACUACCCGCGGUGUCAGUGGUCGUUUCACAUACCGUGCGCGCGGAGAUUUUCCACGAAGGUUAAAGGCGAGGCGCUCCCGCAAGAGUGCAUCUUCAUCGAGCAGGACGAGCGCGCGGCGCCGGGGACGCCCGAGGGUGAGAACCGCUUAUUCUGCCCGCGGCACCGGCAUCACUCGGUGCUCGGCGGCGGCGGCGGUCGGUCGCAGCGACAACCGACCGCGACGCAACCCCCGCGCGCGACGGUGAAGUCGAGCCCGGCGGCGCCGCCGCCGUCCGAGAUCCAUCGCGAGGACAGAGAAGCGUCGCCGCGGCGGCCGCAGCCGCGACCGCGACCGCAGCAGCAUCAGCAGUCGCCGCGGCGUCAGAAGUUUGCGAUUCGCAGUUCGCCGUUCGCGUUUCCGGUAAACGACGAAGACGACGAGCUCAUGAACACGUCCGAGGAGGAAGAGGAGGACGCGCCGGGACCGCCUCCGCCGCGAAACGACGACGACGACGACGCGAUGGAAGAGGAAGACCCAGCGGGGGACAUCGCGGCAGAACUCGUCAGAGACGUCGCACGCGCCGCGACGACGGAAGCGGAAGCGACCGAAAGGGAGGACGACGACGACGUCGAGCACGUCGGAUCGAUUCCGCCGCCGUCGUCGCAACCGCGGGUGGACGGGAUUGAAUUUUUGACCGACCUCGAGUUUGUCGCGCCGACGCAGCAAGCGCCGCCGACGCCGCCGCCGCCGCAGAUGCCGGAGGAGGAGGAGGAGGAGGAGGAGGACGGCGAAGGACCGUUAGAGAAGACUAUCAGGCGGAUCAGCGCGUCGAUGUCUCAGCCGAAGCCGGUGGCGAGAGAGUUGAGUCAAGCCGCGGCGUCGCCGACGCGAGCGCCCGCUAACGCGUCGCCGGUUCAGUCUCAGUCUCCCGCCGCGGCGCCGGUUCAACCGCCGCCGCAGCCGCAGCAUCGGUCGUAUCACGCCGUUCGAAAGUGCGCGGUGGUCUUGACCCCGUCGAAGCUUCCGGGCGCGGCGGGCGCGACGACGACGACGACGACGGCGGCGGCGACGCCGUUGCGACAGCUGCGCGCGAACCCCCCCGCGUCGCGGACCCUCGACGCUCCCGCGCCGCGCCCGACGAACGCGAUGGCGUACGCGGACAUAGUGCGAGGGGGAGCGUCGGCGACGGGAGGAGGGGGAGGAGGAGGGAACGAGACGACCGCGGAGACCGCGGCGGCGGCGGCGUGGACGACGGCGGCGCCGAUCCAGAGCACGGAGUCGGGGGAGAUUCGGUACGAGUACCCAGCCUCGUAGACGCGUCGCGCGCAAAGUACUUCCGAAGUACUUUCGAAAGUACUUUCGUACGAAAGUACGAAAGUACUUUGAAAGUACUACACUCAGAGAAGACUCACGACUACACGUACGCGCACACGACACGCCGCGACAGCGCGACCGACGCGUCACAUGAACGACGGGCGCUUCUUCUUGAGCUUAUCCCGCAGCGCGCUGAGGUCCACCUUCCCCUCGCGCUCGCCUCCGCCGCCCCCUCCGCCGGCGCCCGCCCUCGCCCUCUCCCUGGCUUCAUCCCCCUCCCCCUCUCCCUCCCCCUCGCCGCCGCGCUCGCGCUCGCUCUUGCCCUCGCUCUUACGCUCGUCGCCAGCCUUGUUCGCGGCCGCCAUCGCGCGCCCGACCGCCAGCGCCGGGUUCAUCAUCGGCCCGUGCCCCGUCUCCGACGCGCGCGCGGCGUCCGCGACGCGCGCGAUGGCGGCGCCCGCGGCGAAGUGUACCCCCGUCGCGGUGACGUACCCGCCCUCGGGUAGUAACGCGCCGCCGCCGUGCGUUUCUCCCCCCUCCUCCUCCCCACCCUGGUCCACCCUUCGCAUCUCGUCCACGCGGCGCUGCACCGCGAGCGUGAGCGCCGCCUUUCGCGCGUCCGGGUCCUGGAGCGUCGCGGCGGCGGCGAGGACUGCGGCGUGCGCGUCCUCGGCGACGGCGCGAAGUUUGUCGCGCGCGGCGUCUGAUGAUCAUGAUGCCACGUGGAGGGACGCGAGUGGUCAGCGCGCUUCGAGUGAGUGAUGUGAUUGGGGCGAAUACGAUGACGUGUCGGAUCGGAUACGGAUCGUGUGGCCGAGAGACGCGCGCCGAGUCCGAGUCCUUCUUAAGAAACGACGCUCGACGCGCGAGUCGGGUCGUAUGGGAAGCAGUCUCACCUCCCGCGGGGAACCGACUCGGGUCGCAGCGCAUGCUCAUGAUCUUCGCCCGCAUCGCGACGUCGUUCGACCGCAUCGCCGGGUGGUUCUCCCACGUCACCUUCCCGUCCACGUCCACGGGCGCGCCCGGGAGGCCGAGCAGCUUGAGCGGGUCCUGUGAGGGUCGUUCCAUCGUUCAAAGCGACGUCGGGGCGGAGUUGAAAGGCGGGUCAGACGGAGUCGAAAGGCGUCAUAGGGUCGGGUAUUGAAACCGAGGGACCCUGGGCGUAGAGAAACGACGGGAGAGAAAGUCCUUAAGGAUCGGCGUUCACCACGCGUGCGCGGUCGUAUGGGAACCAGUGUGAAUCCGACGCGCCUUCGAUCGCGCUCUGAGGAGAAUCUCGAGCAUCUCUUCCUCCGACGCCCGGUCGACGUUGUUCACCGCCGCCGUCGCCGCUCCCGCCGCGGACGGCGCCGGUCGCUUCGCCGCGGUGCCGCCGCCGAUGGCGCCGCCGCCUCUGGCUUUGCUCGCGGCCAUCGCCUGUCGGAUCGCCUCCGCGGGGUCCACGGGGGCGGCGGCGGACUUUUUGGACUUUUUAUUAUUGGAUCGCCAUCCUCCUCCCGCGUCGUCGCCGCCCGCCUUGAACAGCGCGGUCUUGAACGCCUCGACGUGCCUGCUCGGCGGGUGGCGCGAUCGCGGUGGACGGCGUAAAUAAAUAGAGCGCUGAGAAGAGAAGAGAAGAGAGAAGACGGCGGGAGGGUGCGAGCAAAGCCAGGGACGGGCGGGGGGGAGGCUCGGAUGGAUGAUCGGGUGGGCACUUCGACGACGACGCUCCGGAUUAUUCGCGCACCCGGGAUUACUCGUCAUGCCGACGCUGUCUAGGAGCGCGUCCAGCCUUCGCUCCGCGCGGCAUUCGCUCACGUCGUCGAUCCCCUGCGCCAUGAACCGCGGGUAGUACUCCUGCAGCUCGAGGCCGCGAAGAAACGACUCCAUUGCGACGGCGAGGGACGGACGUCGCGUCCGAUGGAAUGGCACGAACUGACGAACGAACGCACAUCAUUUUCGUCGUCGUCGUCAGCCGCCGCUGUCGUUCAUUCAUUCGAUCGGACGCGCGACGCACGCACGCGCCCCAACGCUCUCCCCCACGAGCAAGAGAAAACCACCCAACCCACCCUCGCCGCCAUGCCCUCCCGCGUCACUCCGCGGUGGUACCCCAACGCGUGCCUCGCGGACCACGUCACGAUCGCAUCGCAUCUCCCGCGCAUCAUGGGCGCGUACGUCGGCCCGAACGCCAUCGAGGCGGCGACGAACGAGAAGAUCAUGCUCACGGUGAACGGCGUGAACGACUGCGAGUACUGCACCGGUGCGUCGCGUCGGGUUAGGGUUUAGGGGUGUUGAUCCGCCCGGCGUGCGUCGCGCGCGCGGUCGGCGACGGACGCGUCGUCCGUCCGCCGCGACGGCGCGCGAGCGAUCGAGCGAAGAAUCCAUCGAUUAAUCAAAUCAAUCCACGCGGUUUCAUCCCUAAGACAUCAAUCAAUCAGGACUAAUAACCAAGUCAUCAUUCUCUCUGCGCGACAGGCCUUCACGGCGAGCUCGGACGGAUGGCCGGCGCCGAGGACGCCGUCGACGCGAAAGCGCAGGCGUGCGUGACGUACGCGAAGAUCUUCGCGCAGCACGACGGCCGCGGCGCCGUCGUCGAAGCCGCCAAGGCGGAUCUCGUCGCCGCCGUCGGCGCCGGCGUCGCGGAAUCCGCGCAGGCGCGUCCCAUACACUGGUCCCCAUACGACCGCGUCGGCGUGGUGAACGCCGUUCCUCAAGGACUUUCGCCGUCGUCUCUCUCCGCCCAGGGUCCCUCGCUUUCAAUCCCCGACCCUAUGACGCCUUUCAACUUCAACUGACGCCUUUGAACUCCACCCCGACAUCGUCGCUUCGUACGGAAUCCGCGCAGGCGCUCUGCUGGUUCAUCCUCUGGGGCUCCGUGUCCGGGCACUGCCUGAACGCGUUCUGGAAAGGCCGCCUAAUCUUCGACCCGCAGCCGCACAGCAACCCGAUCUUCGAGGUGCUGUUCGCGGCGUACUACACCCCGCUGUACGCGCUCGUGGUGAUCACGACGCAGAUACUGAAGGUGAGACUGCUUCCCAUACGACCCCGUUCGCGUGGUGAACGCCGUUCCUUAAGGCGUUCUUUCUGUCCACCAAUCACAUGCCCGAGAGACUGACACGUGUCUUAUCCCCUCGGCCAAUCGCGUCCGUCGUCGCAGGUGUUCCCGGCCAAGGGGAAGAAAGUCGUCAACGCCGCCGUCGGCGCGGUGCUCACCGUCGUCGCGGGCACGUGGAUCGGCGCGUUCUCCUCACACUGGUUCCCAUACGACCCCGUUCGCGUAGUGAACGCCGUUUCUUAAGGACUUUCUCUCCCGUCGUGUCUCUGCGCCCAGGGUCCCUCGAUUUCAACGAACGCCCGCCCUCGACGCCUUUCAACUCCACCCCUGACGCCUAUCAACUCCACCCCGACGUCGCCUCACAGUGCCGCUCGGGCUGUUCGGCGCGCUCACGAGGCCGUUGCGAGGCCGCGUGAAGGGCGCGUCCACGACGAGAGACGUCGAGUGCGGCGGUAAGAAGAAGAAGAAGAAGAACUGAAAGGCGUCAUCGUGACGCGAGCGCGACGCGUCGGAGGCGGGCGCGGCGCGCGGCGGCGAAUGCGGCGGCGGAGGGAAGAGGCGGGAGGGCGCUGACGACGACGAGACUGCGGCGGUUCGAAGCGGAGUGACGGCGACGCGGCGCAAACGAAAGAACGAUGCCCGACGCUCGAUGAGACGCGAACGAACCGACCGAACACGAACAUUGACGCGUUAUUACUGUAGGAGGUGGAGGAGGAGAAGGAGGAAAAGAAGAAUAAUAACGCGCGAUGAUAGACAGUUAGAAGACAGUAGCUCAGAGCCCGCGGCGGAAGUACGCACAGUAGUGUACGUCCGUAAUUUAUCAUAAAUCAACGAAUGAAUCUACGCAUCAUUCAUCACCUCGAAGCGUUGUACACCUUCGCGACGGCGUCUUCCACCGCCGCGCUCACCUUCUCGACGUCGCACCCCGGGGAAAAACUCAGCCGCACCAUCUGCACCCCCCCGAUCGCUUGCUUCCCCUUAUCCUCCGCCCGUAUGGCGCCCUGCGUCGACGUCGCGGGGACGGUGCAAUACGCGAGCCCGUUGUCCUGUCCGAACGACACGCACGGCUUGAACAGCUCGGGGGCGUGAUUCCCGCCGCAGAGAAAAUCGACGAAGGUUUGCGCGAGCGCGGCGCGCUCGCGCGCGUCCGACCCCGGACGCGGAGGAAGGUUGAACGAGAACGUGGACGAGCUGAGGGCCAUUCCAUACAAAAACAGUUCACCGGUCAGUUGAAAGGGGGAGCGAUCAAAUUUUGAAACCGGGCGAUGGGUGAAAAACAUAUAGAACGCACCUGAACCCCGCGGCCGCGUCCGCGUCGGACACGAACGCGAUCGGCAUGUCGCCGGCGUAUUUUCGCACCGCGGUUCUGGGCGAAGCGAUCGUGGGUGAACGCGUCGGUCAGUCGAACGUCUCACCGGUCAAACGUUGAAAGGGAAGCGCGGGUGAAAAGUGACGACGGGGAAAGUCCUCAAGGAACGGCGUGCACCACGCGAACGGGGUCGUACGGGGAGCAGUCUGUCUCACCGCAACGCGUCGCCCACCGCCCUCGCCGCCUCGUAAGCCCGCGCGCAUCUCUCCUCGACGCCGUGCCGCUCGCGACACAGCGCCUCGAGCUGGUCGUCGCCCGCGCGCGUCCCGAAAAUCUCCAUCGCGCUUCCUAUGGCCUCGUGCAGCGGCGUCGCCGCGUCCGCGUCGCCGACGACGAGCGCGCCCGCGGUGACCUUCCCGCGCGAAAAACUCUGAGGGUCGAGGGUCAGUCGUUCAAAGCGACGAACGUCGGGGUGGAGUUCAAAGGCGUCAGAAGCGGAGUUGAAAGGCGUCGAGGUGUGUCAUCGGGAUUGAAACCGUGGGGUGGGCGGCGAAGAGAAACAUACGCCGGGAAGAAAAGAAAGUCCUUAAGGAAUGAAGUUCACAACGCGAACGGAGUCGUACGGGAACCAGUGCGUAACGAGAUCGAACGCGCCUUGGACAGCGAACAAAACGCCACCGCGAUCAUCUCCGGCGCGAGCGCCCGCAGCUUCCCCAACACCUCGCUCCCCGGCGCGAACGUCGUGUCCACGAGGACGACGACGCGGUGCCACCGCGCGUCCGGGGCGUACCGCGACGCGUGCUCGUACGCGCGGACCGCGUCCACGAGCGCGGGGAGCGACGGGACUUUCAUGUCCGGAUUCGUCGGGAUCUUAGGGCCAUUCCAUACGAGCGAUUGUCGGGGUGGAGUUGAAAGGCGUCAGAAGCGGAGUUGAAAGGCAAUGCGGGCGGGUAUUGAAAGCGAGGGGUGGGCGGAGAGAAACGCCGGGAAAAGUCCUUAAGGAUCGGCGUUCACCACGCCGACGGGGUCGUAUGGGAACCAGUGUAUAGAACGCACCUCGACGAAGACCACCGUCCACGCGCCGUCGAUCUCUCUCCCUCGCUUCUCUUUCUCUGCGCCCUCCUCCUCCUCCUCGCCGCCCUCGCGCUCGCCGGUCACCGCGAGCGUCUCCUUCGUCCUCGCGAGCGCGUCGAGCGUCGAGGAGAGGUUGGCGACGACGUCCGCGUCGGGGCCCUGGACGUCGAAGGACCACUUCCGGACGCGGCCGCGCGUCCGCUCGCGCAGCAAAUCCACGAGCUGAGGGUCGUUCCAUACGAGCGAUGAUAUCGGGGUGGAGUUCAAAGGCGUCAGAAGCGGAGUUGAAAGGCGUCGAGGUGUGUCGGGAUUGAAACCGAGGGCUGGGCGGAGAGAAACGACGGCAAAAGUCCUUAAGGAUCGGCGUUCAACACGCCGACGCGGCCGUAUGGGGACCAGUGUGAGGAGAACGCGCCUGCGAAGACCCGCCGUACGCCGUGGACGCCAUGACGACGUCGACGCCGCCGUCCUUCGCGAGCGCGCCGAACAUCGUCGCGAGCGCGGGGAGGCCCGCGGAGAAGACGUUGGGCAGGUGCUCCGGCGGCGGGAACGCGCGCGCGCGGAAGUCGCCCUCGUCCACGCCGUGCAGCCGUUGCAAGUGCGUCUGCAUGCCGUCGAUCUCCGACGGCGACGCGCGCGUCAGCGACGUCGAACGCCCCGCCGCGUCCACGAACGGCGGCGGCGGAUUCGGCGUCAUCGAGCGAAGCUUAGGGUCGAGGGUCCAUACGAUGCGAUGUCGGGGUGGAGUUCAAAGGCGUCAGAAGCGGAGUUGAAAGGCGCCGAGGUGUGUCGGGAUUGAAAGCGGGGGACCCUGGGCGGAGAGAUGCGCCGGGAUUAAAAGUCCUUAAGGAUCGGCGUUCACCGCGCGAACGGGGUCGUAGUAUGGGGACCAGUGUACAACAGAACGCGCCUUAAAGAGCGCGAGCGCGUGCGUCGCGGGCGUCGCCGCGCGCUUCCGCGCGGUCGCCACCGCCUCCGGAGGGAGCUUGGACUGGUCCAGGACGUGGAGGUCUGAGCCGUCGACGACGCCGGCGACGCCGGCGGCGGCGGCGGCGCGCAGAAACGCCGCGUCGCACGGACCGUCGCCUACGCCUACGCCCGCGCGGACCAUCAUCACGCAGUCGUCGUCGUCGUCGUCGUCGCGGCACGCGGAGGUCGGGACGCCGCGCUUGACGACGAUGGUUCUCCCCGUGAACGCGGACAGCGUCGCGAUCUUUUCGUUCCCCCACAGCUUCCCGACGCCGAGGUAAAACGUAACGCGCUUCGCCGGCGUCGACAGCAGCGCGCACGACGCGGGCGCGUCCUCCGAGGCGAACGAAAACACGCGUCGCACGUCGCCGUGCCCCGCGACGCGCGCGAGCUCGAGCUCCAAGAAGACGCUCAGGUUCGACGCGACGCGCAGGUAGUCCUCCGCGACGCCUAACGCCUCGAGCGCGGACGUUGUAACCUCGCUCGCGCCGCUCUCAACGAUCCCGCAGACGAGGUCGUUCAACGCGGACGCGAACGCCUCGCGGCCGAGUAAAUUUUCGUUCCGAAACGUAGUCCCCAACCACUCGGAGGGCAGCGCGUCCAGCGCGACGUCGAUCGCGCGCGCGUGCACGGCGACGCGCAUGCGCUCGCGCUCGUGCACGGACGGCCGCACGAAGUCCAGCGAGGUCCCGGUCGCCGUCGGCGUCAGGUUUUUCUCUCUGAGGGUCGAGGGUCCGUGCGAGGCGACGUCGGCGUGGAGUUGAAAGGCGCGUCAGAAGCGGAGUUGAAAGGCGGGCGUCGAGGUGUGUCGGGAUUGAAACCAUCGAGGGGUGGGCGGAGAGAUGCGCCGCCGGGGUUAUUAAAAGUCCUUAAGGAAUCGCGUUCACCACGCGAACGCGGUCGUAUGGGAACCAGUGUAAAUACGAUGAACGCGCCUGAGCCAUUCGGGGUUAAACGUCGUCGCGCGGUAGCGCUCGCCGCCGUCGCACAGUAUCGUGACGACCGUCUUCCCGCUCCCGACGCCGAGCUUUCUCGCGAGCUUCACCGCGCCGACGACGUUCAGCGCCGCUGACGGCCCGACGAAUAUCCCCUCGUUCCGUAGGAGGUAAUACGCCAUCUCUAUCGCCUCUCCGUCCGUGCCUCGGAACGCGCCGUCGACGCGCGCGGAGCGGAAGUUCGCCUUUGAGCCAUUCCAUACGAAGCGAUGUCGGGGUGGAGUUCAAAGGCGUCAGAAGCGGAGUUGAAAGGCGUCGCGGUGUGUCGGGAUUGAAAGCGAGGGACCCUGGGCGGAGAGAAACGCCGGAUGAGAAAGUCCUUAAGGAUCGGCGUUCACCACGCCGACGCGGUCGUAUGGGAACCAGUCUAAAUAUGAACGCGCCGUCUCGCGUCCGAUGCCGAUGCCGUCGAUGAAACAGCCGCCCGCGGAGGCGAACGCGCCCGUCUCGACGAAGCACUUCAGCCCGCUCCCGGUCGGGUCGAUGAGGUAGGUUUGAAUCGCGUCGCCGCGCUUCUCCUUGAGGUAUCGCGUCACGCCGCCGAUCGUGCCGCCGGUGCCCGCGGCGCAUACGAAGCCGUCCUAUACGAGCGAAUGUCGGGGUGGAGUUGAAAGGCGUCAGUUGAAGUUGAAAGGCGUCGAGGGCGAGGAUUGAAAGCGAGGGGUGGGCGGAGAGAGACGCCGGGAAGAAAAGUCCUUAAGGAUCCGCGUUCACCACGCCAACGCGAUCGUAUGGGAACCAGUGUAUAGAACGCACCACGUCGCCGGCGGUUUGCGCCCAAAUCUCCGCGCCGGUGCCCUUGUAAUGCGCGUCCGCGUUCGCGAUGCACUCGAACUGGCACGGCUUCGCCGCGCCCGGGGUCGAAGCCGCGAUGGACGCCGCCAUCGACAUGUACGACCGCGGAUCCGUGUACGGCACGCACGGGCACACGGUCACCUCGGCGCCGAGCAUGCGAAGGAGGUCUACUUUAUCGGGCGAGAUGUUUUCCGGAAUGCACACGUGCGCUUUGUACCCGCGCGAUUUCGCGAUCAUCGCGAGCGACACGCCCGUGUUCCCGCCCGUGCCCUGGACGAUCGUCCCCCCCGGCUUGAGCUCCCCGCUCGCGAUCGCGUGAUCCACGAGCGCGUGCGCGGCGCGGUCUUUCACUGAGGGUCGUUCGUUGCGUUUGCAUUGAUUGUCGCGACGUCGGGGUGGACGAGAGCGAGACGAGUUCGGGGGCGCGUCAGAUGGAGGAUUGGAGUCGCGAGGCGUCGAGGCGCGUCGGGAUCGAAAGCAGCGAGGUGUGGGCGGAGAGAGACGACCGCCGGGAACGAAAGUCCUUAAGGAAUGAAGUUCACAACGCGAACGCGGUCGUAUGGGAACCAGUGUGAACGCGCCUGAGCCGCCCGGGUGGAGAUGCUCGCACUUCGCGAGGAUUACGCAUCCGAGCUCCUCGCUCAGAGACUUGAGCUCCACGAUCGGCGUGCCGCGGGGGAUGCCGUGGAAGGCGUGGUACGAGGACGACGACUUCCGCGGCGUCUCCCGCGGCGUCCGCGGCGAGACCAUCGAAGGCUGCUGCGAAGACCGGCGCGGCGGCGCGGCGCGGAGUGAGUGACGCGUCGCGUGCGAUGCGAUGCAGGCCUCGAAACUUUUCGCGCGACGACGCGACGAUUGUUGUUGUUACCCGCGCGUCAUCACACCUCCGGGGCGCGGCGGCCGACACCCCGCCCCGCCCCCGCCCUCGCGCCGCCCGCGCGAUACGAUGACGCCGACGACGCUCGCCGUCGCCGCCGUCGACGCGCUCGCGCGAUUCGCCGCCCUCGCGCUGACGACCGCGCGCGUCGUCCUCGCGGUCGCGGACGCCGUCGCGCAUCCCGCGCUCGGGCUCGUCAUGACGUUCGCCGCUUCCGUUCUCGUCGCGUCGACGCUCGGGGGGGAUCGCGCGCCCCCCUUCGUCCUCGUCCUCCUCCUCGUGUACGCCCUCGGCGGCGGGUGGCGCGCGUGCGCGAGCGCGGAGGAGCUCGCGAUGAUGCGCGCGCGCGGGCACAGGACGCCGAAAGCGAUGCGCGCGGCGACGCGCGCGAUCGCGCGCGCGCUGGGCGCGGACGGGGGCAUCGGAGACGACGACGCGUUGGACGGCGGCGGCGUCGCCGCGGCGGCGCGAUGGGCGGUCAGACGCGCGAUGCGAUGGCAGCGGAUGCGAAUAGGAGGCCUCCGCGGCGAAGACGACGACGAGGAGGAGGAUGAGGAGGAGGGCGACGGCGACGGCGACGGCGCGGAGGCGGAGGCGCGGAACGAUGACUCAUCGAUCCGAUCCUCGCCCGCCGCCGCCGCCGCUGGGACCGACGAGACCGAGCGGUGGCCGACGGUGACGCUCCCGCGACCGGAGGAGUGGCCGCACCGCCCGGUGUUCGUGCGGUUCAACCCGAAGGCGCGGUCGAUGCGCGCGAUCGGCGGGUGGGCGACGAGGGAGGGGCCGGCGCCGUGGCGCGACGACGACGACGCGUUAUGGAAGGAUCCGAAUCAGAAUCCGUCGAAUCCGUCGCCGAAACCGCCGUCUCGAGAACGCCUGUGCGCGCCCGUCAACACGGAGACGUCGAUGGCGUUCGAGAGCGAGCUGUUCGUAGGGCGCAUCGUGUGCCGGUUCAAGGGCGUCGGGUGCCCGGGGAACGAGCGCGCGGUGAAGACGUCGGACGCGUUUUUCAAGCGUCGCCGCGUCACGUUCCAGGUUUUGGUGCAAGGCAAGUUCAAAGAGCCGUGCUUAACGUCGGACAUCUUAACCGGCGCGGAGUUCAAGAAGCCGUUCGAGAACCGCCCCCCGGACUUCCUCGUGACCGCCGGGAUCGCGUUCUUCGCCGCGCUCACCCCGGGUUUAGAGACGGACGUGCUGUGCGACGAGCCGUGGUGCGUUCUCUACAAACGCAUUUCACCCAUCGCCCGGUUUCAACAUUUGAUCGCGUCCUUUUUCAACUGACCGAUGAACAUUUUUUGUAUGGAACGACCCUCAGGUACUGGGCGACGUUGGGGGGCACGGUGACGACGAUGGCGGCGCACGAGGCGAGAGACGCGCCGAGCGCGUUGGAUGAUUCGAAAGAGGACACGGUCCGGUUCGGCGGCGUCCUGGGCGGGGAAAAGAACGGGGCCCGGAAGAACAAGAACGGCGGCGACACCGCGAGGGAGCGCGCGCGGCGGUGUCGAAUCUUGGGCGAUCCGAAGACGGCGAAGGAUUACGUCUACAACGCGACGGACGUGUACACGUUCGAUUACAUGCAGAGCGUCAUCCUCUUCGACGAGUACGCGUUGGACCUGUGGGGUAUCGCGCGGCUGCCUCUGGAGCGGCACGUCAACGGGCAGCCGUUGGGAAUCAUGGCGAAGCACAGGGACGGGCGGUACGUGUACUCGUUCGAGAUCAUGCACGAGUGCUUGCUCGCGAAGAACGACCAAGCCCCGCCGGGGUGGAGAGUAGAGAGUAGAGAGGCGGCGGCGAGUUAAUCGAGUAUGUACGGAAGUACUUUCCGUACCUUGGGCUUGUGUAGCGUUAUUAGAGUCGGCGCCGUUUUAUUUAUAAGAAUCGAUCAUCUCCGUAGAUGACAACUUAUCCUAACUGAUGAAGUAAUAACCGAAGCGUUCUCUCGCCGGCGCCCGCGUCACCCUCAUCGUCUCCUCCCCCACGCGUCCAUCCCCCCCAUGACGUUGUACACCUCCUUGAACCCUCUCGACGCGAACUCCUUCCCCGCGUGCGCGCUCCUCACGCCAGCCUUGCACAGCAUGUACGUCGGCUUCGGGCCGUUCCAUUCGAGCGAAUGUCGGGGUGGAGUUGAAAGGCGUCAGAUGGAGUUGAAAGGCAUCGAGGACGGGGAUUGAAACCGUGGUGUGGGCGGAGAGAUGCGCCGGGAAAAGUCCUUAAGGAUCGGCGUUCACCACGCGGACGCGGUCGUAUGGGAACCAGUGUAUAGAACGCACCUUAGACUUGUCCACGCCGGCCAAUUUCUCGUCCCACUCCGCCUCGGUCAUCUGCAUCACCUUCGACAGCGGCAUGAGCGUGAACGCGUCGAUGCGCGUCGCGCGCCACUCGUCCUCCUCCCUGACGUCGACGAGGUUGACGCCGUCCAGGUCGCCGACCUCGAGCACCUCCGCGAGAUCCUCCACGCUCACGUUGACCACCGCCGCGGGCGCCUCUCUCUGAUCCAGCACCUGCACGACGUGCACGCCGAACGUCGUCUUCGCGCGCGUCACGCCCCCGAUAGGCGUCGCGAACGCGGCGUCCUCGAACGGCUUCACCGUCUGCCCGCGGCCGAUCCAGCCGAUGAGCCCGCCGUUCGCUUUCCCCGAAGGGCACUUGGAGUACUCCGCGGCGAGCGUCGCGAGGUCGUCCGCGCCGGCGACGACGCGCUCGUAGAGCUCGUCGAGCUGCGCCUCGUCGGAGGCGUCCAUGAGGAUGUGCGCGAUCUUGAUCUGGCCCUCGUGCGGGGGCGCGGAGGACGAGGAGGAGGAGGAGGAGGAGGAGGCGAACGUGCGCGUCACCCACGGCGAGACGCGACGAUGACGUUGACGACGACGCGGAAUCAUCGCGGGGAUCGCGGACGACGACGCGCGGGAGGCGGUCGUCGCGGAGGAGGAGAACGUCGCGCCGACCGCGCGCGCGACGACGCGCGGGGUAGAAGACCGCAGGAGCAUCAUCGCGCGAGCGGGAGACGACGCGCGCACGACGACGAGAGGCGACGAGGGUUAUGACGACGACGCGACCGACGAUGACAGUCUAUGAUACAUUCGAGCUCUUCGCUUCGGAUGAGAAAAAACCUAAACUUACGCGUCGAUGAGGUUCACCCAGUUCCGAAUGAUGUGCAGCCCGUUCUCCGUGAUGAUGCUCUCCGGGUGAAACUGCACGCCCUGGAUCUUCGGAUACUUCCUGUGCUUCACCGCCAUGAUCGUCUGAUCCUUCGUCCACGCCGUGACCUCUAACUCGUCCUCCGGAAAGCCCUCCCGGGAGAUCACGAGCGAGUGAUACCGCGCCGCCUCGAACGGGCUGGGUCGUUCCAUCGUACGAAGCGACGUCGGGGUGGAGUUGAAAGGCGUCAGUGGUGGAGUUGAAAGGUGUCGAGGUGUGUCAUCGGGAUUGAAAGCGAGGGACCCUGGGCGGAGAGAAACGCCGGGAACAAAAGUCCUUGAGGAACGGCGUUCACCGCGCCGACGCGGUCGUAUGGGGACCGGCGCGAGAUGGGGACGCGCCUCGGCAGCCCGUGCAGCAGCUGCCCCUCCUCCUCCGUGUGCCACACCGGGGAGCUCUUCCCGUGCAUGAGCCCGCACGGCGCGCGGACGACGGUCCCGCCGAACACCUGUCCGAUGCACUGAUGCCCCAUGCACACGCCGAAGACGCCAAACUCGGGGCCUGCGAUCGAUUGGUUUUGGUUUUGGUUUUGGUUUUGGUUUUGGUUUUGGUUUUGGUUUUGGUUUUCGUCAGUCGGGGGCGGACGCGCGCACACGUGUCAGCGACGGGGCGUUCUCAUUGGUGGGACGCGCGCACACGUGUCAAAACGUGCGGCGGCGGGCGCAGCCAGCCCAGCGCGCCAUCUUAAGGAACGACGCGCGACGAGCGAACCGGGUCGUAUGUAUGGGAAACAGUCUGAGCUCGUCUUCGCACCUAAUUUUUCGCACGCCUCGAGCGAGAUGCCGCUGUCCUCGGGCCGUCCCGGCCCCGGGGACACCAUCACGCCCUUGGGGUUCAUCGCCGCGAUCUCCGCGACGGUCUUCUCGUCGUUCUUGUACACGACGUGCUCGCACCCGAGGUCGCCGAGGUACUGCGGCGAGGAGGAGAUGGGAUGGGGAGGGGCGACGGGGGGGUGAGCCGCGUUCGUUCGUUCGUUCGUUCGUUCGAUCGAUCGGAUAAAGGAGGACGGACGGACGGGGAUCGCGAUUCGCGCGCGCGAGCCCGUCGCGACGACGCGCGCGCGCGCACCUGCGACAGGUUGUACGUGAAGCUGUCGUAGUUAUCUAUGAUCACGACCGGGCGGUCGUCGCCCUUCGACGCCGCGGCGAGGACGACGACGCCGACGCGGCGCGCGACGCCGCGACGACGACGACGCGCCGCGUCCGACGAGCGACGGCGGCGUCCGAGACCGAGCCCGCCCGUCGUCGUCGUCGCCGCCGUGGACCGCGCGGCGAGGCCGCGCGCGGGCGACGCCUUGGCGAUCGUCGUCGUCGUCGUCGCGGCGACGCUCAUCGUGAGCAUCGCGCGUCGCGUGCCUCGGCGCGGCGAGAUGCUCUGCCGCCGAGCGGCGAGAGCGGCGACCCUUCCGACGGAAGCGGAAGCUCGCGAUGAGCGCGGAUGGCGCGUGUCGGUCAUCACUCGGUCAUCAGUCGUUCUCUCGGCACGCGCACGCGCGCUUGCUUUGAAAAUCAAAACUUGGCACCCUCCCUCUUCUCCCCAUCGUCCGUCGCGCGGCGACGCCGCGCUCCUCGACGGUCGACAUGCGCGCGCUGGCGUAUUCGGACUCCGACUCCGAGGACGUCUCCGACGACGACGUCUCGGACGCGGAGGACGCGGGCCUCCGCGCCGCGGUCCGCGACGCCGCGGCGAGAGGAUCUGAGCGAUGUGAUGAAGCGCGACGGAGAAGAAACGAAGAAGAUGCGGAAAACGACGCGCGCGCGCCGCCGCCUCCUCCUCCUCCUCCGCCGCCGUCGUCGAUCGCGCCCUCCCCCGCGCCCUCCUCGGUCGUUCAGAUCGACGACGACGAGCGCGACGUCCUGUGCGGCGACGCGAACGACGCGGACGACCGGAUCCCGCGACUCGUGAAGGGCGUCAACCACGGCUCCAUAGGCGCGUUCUAUACACUGGUUCCCAUACGACCGCGUUGGCGUGGUGGACGUCGAUCCUUAAGGACUUUUCCCGGCGCGUCUCUCCGCCCACACCUCGCUUUCAAUCCCCGCCCUCGGCGCCUUUCAACUCCAACUGACGCCUUUCAACUCCACCCCGACGUUCGCUCGUAUGGAACGACCCUUAGGCCCCGAGCUCGCGAAGCUGCGAGCCGCGCAGGGCGAGCACAUGGAGUACUACACGCUCGAGCACUACGACCGCCUGUACGGGCGGCGCCGGCCGUGGGGGCGCGACGACAAGGGCGGCAAGGUGUGGUGCAAGGACGUGCACGAGCCGGGAUGCACGGAGUGCACGUCGUGCCACUUUUGUCGACAGAAGACCACGGAUGUCAAGACGCGUUGCGUGUGCGGCGAGUGGUAAGGAUCACUCAAAUUACACCGUCCCACCUCUUAACUACCGCUUCGGGCUCCCCACGUCUUAUAUCGCUCGCGUUAUGACUUGACAAACUACUCGGGCGCGUGCGCGUCUGAUUGUUUUUUCGUGCGGGCGUCUCUAACGAACGGCGGCGGCAGCCCCCCGGCGGGCGCGGCCGCGGCGCGUGGUGCGGCUGGUGCCUCGAGAUGCGCAUGGGCGAGAACAUCGUCGAGGCGCGGGAGGACCCGGAGUGGCGCUGCCCGGUGUGCCGCGACAUCUGCAACUGCUCCGGCGCCAACUGUCUGCGCGCCAAGAGAAACUUGUUCCCGACGCAACAGCUCACGCACGAGGCGCUCUCGUUCGGGUGGCAGGCGAGGCGCAGACUGGUCCCCAUACGUUCCCGUUCGCGUUGUGCUCUUCGUUUCUGAAGAAGAACUUUCUCUUUCGGCGUUCGUGUCUCUCCGCCCACCACCCCCGCGGUUUCGAUCCCGACGCGCCGCGACGCCUUAUGACUCCGCUUCUGACGCCUUUCGACUCCAAACCCCGACGUUCGCUUGUAUGGACAAUUACCCCGACGCGUUCCCGCCGAUCGAUCGAUCGAUCGUCUCUACGCCUGAGCAGUCCGUCGCGCACUACCUCAUCACGACGCGGCUCGUCUCCGGCGAGGACGCGCCGCCGAUCAUGAACCUGCCGCUCGCGCAGCGCGAGCAGUUCCAGCGAAGACGCGCGCGCGUCGGGGUGGGGGUGGGAGUGGCGGGCGGCGCGAAGGGCGCCGCCGCGGCGAACGCCGCGUCGAAAAAGAGACGGGAGGCGCGUUCUGUACACUGGUCCCCAUACGACCGCGUUCGCGUGGUGAACGCCGAUCCUUAAGGACUCUCUCUCCCGGCGGUUCUCUCCGCCCACCCCUCGCUUUCAAUCCCGACACACCUCGAUGCCUUUCAACUCCAACUGACGCCUUUCGACUCCGCCUUUGAACUCCGCCUUUGAACUCCGAAAAAGGACGCGUCGAGGAGAGACCGCGCGGCGGCGUUGCGCGCGCGCGUGCAGCGGAGGCUGCGCGCGGCGCUGUCGUCGUCGACGACGCUGAGCGGCGGCGGCGGCGCGAGCGGCGCGAGCGGGGUAUCGGACGGCGCGGCGGCGACGGAGGCUUCCGCCGCCGGCGCGGAAACCGCCGUCGCCGCGCGCGGCGACGACGACGACGACAGCGGCAGCAGCGGAAGCGACCUGGACUCGACCGACGGGGAGGACGAGGGCGACGAGGGCGACGAGGGCGACGAGGAGGAGGCGGCGGCGGCGGCGCGCGAGCGCGAUCACCUCGAGAACGAACCGUUCGAGGCGCCGCCGCGGCCACUCGCGGGCGAAGACGUCGACGCGGCGGCGGCGGCGGCGCCGCCGCCGCGCCCCGUUCGCUCACGUUCGCCGUCGAGGUCGCCGCUUCGCGAGCGCGUCGCGCCGCCGCAGACGCAGACGCAGACGCGAUCGCCGCGGCGUCCGUCGUUCGGCGCCGCCGAGAGGGACGACGACGAGGCGCGGGACGUCGUCGAGAGGGAAGGCGCCGGAUACCGCGGCGGCGGUGNNNNNNNNNNNNNNNNNNNNNNNNNNNNNNNNNNNNNNNNNNNNNNNNNNNNNNNNNNNNNNNNNNNNNNNNNNNNNNNNNNNNNNNNNNNNNNNNNNNNNNNNNNNNNNNNNNNNNNNNNNNNNNNNNNNNNNNNNNNNNNNNNNNNNNNNNNNNNNNNNNNNNNNNNNNNNNNNNNNNNNNNNNNNNNNNNNNNNNNNNNNNNNNNNNNNNNNNNNNNNNNNNNNNNNNNNNNNNNNNNNNNNGGUGGAGGAGGAGGAGGAGGAGGCCACCGCGCGGCGAAACGCCCGCGCCUCCACCCGCCGUCGUCCUCCGCGCGCGAUCGCGUCCUCGAGACCGCGUCCGCGGCGGAGGACGACGAGGGCGCGAACGCCGCGGAGGAGGGCGCGGGAGCGACGUCCUCCGCCGAACGUCGCGCCCGCCGGCGCCGCCGCGGGGGCGCCGCCGGCCCCGGCCGCCGCCGCGCCGCCGCCGACGCGAUCAAGGCCGCGAAAGCCGCGCGACGCGCGGAAUCGCGCGCGGUCGCGGAAGCGCACGCGGAGACCGCCGCCGCGCGAGGCGCGUCCGACGCGGCGGCGGCGUUGCGCGAAGCCAUCGCCGCCGCCGCCGCGGAGGACGCCGCGGACGCGAACGACUGUUCCGCCGCCGAAGAAGACGGCACCGUCGUCGAAAACCAAAGCCAAAACCAAAACCAAAACCAAAACCAAAACCAAAACGCGGCGCGCGAGUGGCUCGCGGCCGCCGCGCGCGCCGUCGCCAUCGCGGAGCUCGCGUGCGCGGACGCCGCGACGCCGGAGACGCGCGCGGCCGCGGACGCGGCCGCGGACGCGGAGCUCGCCGCGCUGUGCGCGCUGUGCGUCCUCCUCGCGCGGCGGCGAGGAACGCGAGGAAGAGGCGGGAAAACGCGCGGCGCGCCGAGAGAUUCGCCGUCGCUCGCGCUCGUCGGGGGACCGAACGCGGAGGCGUUCCGCGCGCGGCCCGGCGUGCGCCGCGCCGCGACGCUUCGCGCGUCGCUUCGACUUCUUCAGCUCGAGGCCGAGGCCGCGGCGGUGGUGACAAUAGUGUCGGACGAAGGUACGGUGUCGGACGAAGGCACGGUGUCCGACGCGUGGCCCGCGGCGACGGCGACGCUCGCGACGAUGGCCGUCCUCGGCGAGGAGUUUUGUCUUCUUCGCGAGCACGCGCGGUGGCGCGCCGCGGGCGGCGGGACCGGCGACGACCAUGGAAUCGCGAGCCACCUCCCCGCGCCGCCGCCGCUGCCGCCCGCGCUCGAGGCGGUCGUCCGAGGAGGCGACGCGAACGGCGCGAACGGCGCGUCGUCUGAGGGCGCGGAGGCGCUCCUCGAACGCAUGGAGGAGUGCCACGUGUUGCUGCUUCACGGCCUGCACGCGUUGCGGCGACACGUGUCACAUCGUCAUUCGUGGGUGUCUUCUUCUGGGAGAAACGUUGGCGGAGAAACAAUCGGAGGAGUCUCGAUGAUAACUCCCGGCGCGCGCGCGUUGCUGUCCCCCACGCUCGGCGCGUUUCUGCAUCCGCGGUUUCCCUUUCGCGCGCGGCUCCGCCGCCGCGCGCUUCGCCUCGUCGCCGCCGCGGCGACGUCGACGUCGCUCGCGUCUUCCGCGGCGACGGCGGCCGGCGACGCGGACGCCAAGGCGGCGGCGAAGGCGGCGGCGAGCGCGCUGUGCGAGCACGUGUGGCCGUCGUUAUCGGCGCUCCUGGAAGUGGACCACCCGGCCAGAAGAGCCGCCGGCGUAACCGCCGCGGAAUCCGAACGCGGCGCAAUAUCGACGUCGACGUCGACCGGGUGCGCGCGGUACGUCAUCGAGACGUCGUCGCGGUGCAUCUCCGCGUUCUUGCGCAGCGGCGCGUGGGGUUGGGGCAGGGCGGAGCGGGAGAUAUGCGCGCCGCACGCGCCGACGGCGUUUUGGAAAGCCGCGGGUCCCCCGUACCGCGCGCUCGCGUUGCGGAUGUACUCGAGGCUGAAGGCGCGUUCUAUCUCACACUGGUCCCCAUACGACCCCGUCGGCGUGGUGAACGCCGAUCCUUAAGGACUUUAUCUCCCGUCGUGUCUCUCCGCCCAGGGUCCCUCGCUUUCAAUCCCGACACACCUCGACGCCUUUCAACUCCAACUGACGCCUUUCAACUGACGCCUUUCAACUGACGCCUUUCAGGACGCGUCGCCGGUGCUCCAAGCCGGCGUCGGCGCGCCGCUGCUGAAACUCUGGGUCCUCGCCGCGCUCGACCCCGCGGCGACGGCGAAGGGCGACUUGGGCGAGGGCGACUUGGGCGUCUCCGGGAUCGGCCGCGCGCGCGCGCGUCUGACGCGCGCGGCGCGGCGACAUCCGACGCUGUCGGCGAUUUUGCCGCCGCCGAUUUUGACGACGCGUUCUGAAGGCGUCGGCGUCGAUCCGAACGACUCCGCGAGGUCGGUCGCCGACCCCGGGGACGCGUCGUGCGCGCCGCCGCUCGCGGUCCGCGCGGGCUGGGUCCGCGACGCGCUGAGGGCGUCUUCCGCGUGCGGCGACCCGCGCGCGGCGACCGCGGCGGUCACCGCGGUGAACAACGCGGUGUUCGAAGUGGACGCGGCGAGGCGCGUUCUAUCUCACACUGGUCCCCAUACGACCGCGUUCGCGUGGUGAACGCCGAUCCUUAAGGACUUUCUUUGCCCGGCGAUUCUCUCCGCCCACCCCUCGCUUUCAAUCCCGACACGCCUCGAUGCCUUUCAACGUCAACUGACGCCUUUGAACUCCGCCUUUGAACUCCGCCUUUGAACUCCAGAGCCGCGGAGACGCGCGGGGGUCCGCUCGCGUCGGCGUGGGCCGACGCCGUCGCCGGCGUCGGCGCGGCGGCGGUUUUCGCGCACCCCGCGGCAACGCACAUCGCGCUCCCGGACUCGGGCGAUCGAUCGGUCGGUCGCACGCGGUUGACGGACGCGACGGUUCGCGUCGCGGAGAGACACGCGAAGGCGACGAAAGCGCUCGAGACGGCGGCGGCGACGGCGGUGAGACUGCUUCCCAUACGACCCCGUUCGCGUGGUGCACGCCGUUCCUUAAGGACUUUUCCCGUCGUCACUCUUCACCCGCGCUUCCCUUUCAACGUACGUUUGACCGGUAAGACGUUUGACUGACCGAUCGCUUCACCCACGCAGUAUUCGGCGGCGGCGGCGAGCGCGCACGCGGGGAGCCACCGCGCGGAAGCCGCGGCGCGCGCGGCGGCGCGCGCGGAGGACCACGUCGGCGCCACGUCGGCGUGGCUCGGCGAAUGCGCGGCCGCGCUCGCCGCGAUCUUCUCCGCGAACGACCAAUCGAAGAACCCCGCGGCGCUUCGCGCGGCGGCGGCGCUGUGCCACGUCGCGUGGGAGCGGCCCCCGGCGUCGUCGCGAUCGUCGUCGACCGCGUGCCACGAGCGCGUCGCCUUCGACCUCGCGGUCGACGCCGUGUGGGCGGGCGUCCACGCCUCGGUCGCGUCGUGCCAGAACGGUCGCGACCUCGCGCGUCACGUCGUCGCCAACCACGUCCGCCGCGCCGUCGCGCGUUCCGUCGGACACGCCGGCGGACACGUCGGCAGACGACCCGGGGAGAGGUUUCCGUGCCCGCGCGUCGGCACGAUCGCCGCCGCGGUCGGCGGCCUCCGCGCGAUGACGCGCGUCGUGGCGCGCGCGGAGAGCGCCGGGCUCGUCCCGGAGACGAUCGCGGACGUGCUGCCCUUUCUCGCCGGCGCGCUGGUCGACGCGACGACGCCGCCGCCGCCGCCGCCGAACCCGGCGGAGGCGGCGCCGCCGGCGUCGCGGUCGGAGGUAUCGCCGCCGUCGGUGCGAUGCGCCGCGUACGCGUUCCUCGGCGCCGUCCUCCACGCGCACCCGGGUCUCAUCGCGAGCGGUGCGCCUCUCCCUCUCGCGGGCGGGGAGCAUCUGCGCGGGCGCGGGCGCGUGCCGGCCGCGGUGACCGCCGCCGCGGCGAGGGAGGUGUGCCGCGCCGCGGCGCGCGCCGCCGUCGCGGAGGUGGCCGCGGCGUCGGGGCGCGCGGGCGCCGCCGCGGCGGUGGACGCGAUGAACGGCGGCGGAGGCGAGAAGAAGGAUGCUACGGAUAACGACGCUGACGUGGCGCCACGUGGCGCGUAUCUGUACGCGACGCCGUCGGCGACGGCGGCGAAGCAGCGGCUCAAGACGCUCCUCGGGCCGUCGCCGCCGUCGGGGCCGUUCGACGACGUCAUGCGCGCGUUCGCGCCGCCGGGACACGAACCGUCGCACACCACCGGGAAUACGAACCGUCACAACGGUGUAGCACACACGCCGACGUACUCCGGAGGAUCGCAUUCGCGUCCACGUCAGCAUCAUCAGUCGACGAUCGCGACCGUCGCGGACGCGCCCGUCGGGAAGGACGUCGACGCCGCCGUCGCCGCCGCGCGGUGGCUGCGCGCGUACGCGUCGUCGGACGAAACGGCCAGACGAUGGGCGUUACGCGACGCGAUACCCGCGCUGCGCGGCGCGCUGAGCGAGGCGGGCGACCGGCGGCUCCGCGAGGCGGCUCGCGAGGAGGUGACGGCGCUGUGGGGGGCGCUGGGGGCGGAGGCGGGGGAGCCGCCGCCGCCGCCGCCGCCGCCGCCGCCGCAAUACGCGUCAUCGUCCGGGUUCGACUCGCCUCCGCGCGGCGCGGCGUCGAGCGCGCUCUCGCGCGCGGCCGCGGUCCGCGACGACGCGGUCGCCGCGCGCGCGCCGUGGCCGGCCGACGUCCCGGACGUCGUCUCGUUCGCGUCGCUGAAAGCCGCCGCCGCAGCCGCCGCCGCCGCGGGAGGCUCUUCGACCGCGACCGCCGCGGCGAAUAAAAAAGUCUCCGUAGUCGGCGCGGUGCACGCGCGCGACCCGCCCGCGGGGACCAAGGUCGUGACGAACCCGAAGACGCAGCGCGCGUACGACAUGCUGUUCAUCACUCUGGGCGAUCACACCGGGGCUCGGAUCCGCGCGCAGUUGAUCGGUCGCCCCGCGAAGCGCGCCGCGGCGGCGUUGGACGCCGAGCGCGGCGGCGGACGCGGAGGAGGUGAGACUGCUUCCCGUACGACCCCGUUCGCGUGAUGCACGCCGUUCCUUAAGGACUUUUCCCGUCGUCACUCUUCACCCGCGCUUCCCUUUCAACGUAAGUUUGACCGGUAAGACGUUCGACUGACCGAUCGCUUCACCCACGCAGGCGGUCAACGCGUCGUGAUCGGCCUGUGCGGCGUCGUCGCGCGGUCGGCUAACCCGGGGAGGGAGGGCGGGCUCGUGACGGUGUGGGAUCCGAAAGAGGCGAGCGCGCUCGUGAUGCGCCCGGACCAUCCCGUCGCGUUGAAGCUGUGACGACGACGACGACGACGACGACGACGAGGACGGGUCUAUGAUACGAUGGCGACGAUAGCGGCGGGGCAUCUACCUUCGAAGGUAGCUAUCAUAGCAAACUUUUUGUGAUGACGCGCGAAGCGCGCUCCCCCUCACAGCCACGUUUAUCCAUUUCGGUCGGGUGCCGACGUCAUACCUCUCCGCGCCGCGCCACCGUCGCGCGCGAUGCACGGCGCGACCCUCGCGCGCGCCUCCGCGCUCGGCGCUCGGACGACCGCGUCGUCGUCGUCCGCGGCGACGGCGUCGAGACCCGCCGCCCCCCUCCGCGGCGUCGGGGCCCCGGGCUCCCGCGGCGGCGGCCGCCCGGGAUCGCUCUCGCGACGUCGAGGCGUCUCGAUCGUCGCGAUGGCGGGCCGGCGGAAGAAGCAGCAGAAGCGAAAGGAGAAGUCGUCGUCGUCCUCGCCGCCGGCGUCGCCGUCGCCGGCGUCCUCCGGCGAUCCCGCGGCGUCGCCGGCGUCGCCGUCCGCGUCGACGAACGACGCGUCACCGCCGCGCGGGCCCGAGCGACUCUCCCAGAACGACUGGGCCGAGAUCGAGCGUCAGAACGCGAUCGCCGCCGCCGCGAAAGCCGCCGCGCCGGGGCCCGGCCCGGCGCGAGACGGUAUCCUGGACAAGCUCCUCAGCUCCGACGCGAUGCUGCUGUUCGCGGUGGACGGCGUGUGCCCGGAGCUCGUGAACGGGCGAGUCGCGAUGUUCGGGUUUUUCACCGCGCUGAUCAAAGAGCUGGUCACGGGGCAGUCGUUCACGACGCAGCUGGUGCGUCCGUGUCGCGGCGUGGUAGCGUGGCGCGCCGCCACGUGUCACGUCGACAGCCAACAACAACCAACCACACGUUAGCAACAUCCACGUCAUCAUAUCUCCUCGACUAUCCUCCAAUCACCGAUCGUUCCGCCUCCGAACUGACCAACCGCGUCGCGCCGCGUAGGCGUAUAAUCUCACGCACGGCGUCUCGCCGACGAUCAUCGCGCUCGUCCUCGUUGGCACGCUCGCGCCGUCGUUCAUGGCGGACGCGAAGGAGACGCCGUGGACGGGCGGCGACGGCGUCGCGCGGUACAACGACGACGCCACGGCGAAAGGGAAGCGGCGGUACCUGUGCGAUCCGAGGGCGCUCGACGUCAGGCGCGUUCACAUGAUUCACACUGGUCCCCAUACGACCGCGUCCGCGUGUUGGACGCCGAUCCUUAAGGACUUUCGCCGUUUGCCGCUCACGCCGGUUCCCGUACGACCGCGUGUAUCUCCGCCCACCACCCCCCGCUGCUUUCAAUCCCGACGCGCAUCGACGACGCCUUUCGACUCCACCCCUGACGCGCCUUUGAACUCCACCCACCCCGACGUCGUUUCGCUUUGAACGGACCCUCCCUCGACCCUCGUCAAUCAGCGGCUUGCCCGGGAUCGAUUCGCCCGUCGGUCGCCUGGGGUGCGUUCUACACACUGGUCCCCAUACGACCGCGUUCGCGUGGUGAACGCCGAUCCUUAAGGACUUUGCCCGGCGUCUCUCUCCGCCCAGCCCUCGAUUUCAAACCCCGACCUCGGCGCCUUUCAACUCCGCUUCUGACGCCUUUCAACUCCACCCAACUCCACCCAGGUUCGCGCCAGUCGCGGAGCUUUGGAACGGGCGCGCGGCGAUGACGGGGUUGAUCUUGACGUUCGUCAUCGAGGGCGCGCUCGGGCACGGGAUAUUCAGGGCGUGACGCGACGCGAUUACGCGACGCGAUGGAUGAUGGACGGAGGAUGGAUCGACAGAGGGAAUGGGGCGCGGGCGUCGCGACGCCGAAGAAUACCUGUAGUAUCACUUUUUACAGUAUGCGGAUCUCAUCACCGAAUCCCACGUGCGCUUUUUCGAUCUGAUGAUGGCUCGUCCGCGGCGCGUCCACUUCUCGUCGCGCGCGCUCGCCGUCUCCCGCGUGCAUCUUCGCGGCGUCGAGGACGAAGACGCGCCCCACCCCGCGCGCGCCCAGAUCCGCCGCGCGCGCGUCGCGUCGACGGCGAGAGGAGGGAGGCACGUCGAGAGAGCGCGCGUCGACGCGACGCUUCGUCGGUUAGUUAAUAUCUGCGCGGAGUAGGAGGUGCCGCGCCCGAUAUUUAGCUCGCAGGGCGACGGUGCGAGACGAUGCGCGCGGCCGCGUCCGCGACCGCGUCCACGUCGUCCUCGCGCGCGUCCUCCUCCUCCUCCCGCGUCGGAUGCGGGGCCCGACGCCACCGCCGCCUCGAGCGCGCCGCGCCGCCGCCGCGGCGCCGCGGUGGGGCCCGAACUCUCGUGACGACGACGACGAUGAGCUCCAAGCCCGACCCGAGCCCGCUGAACGGCAAACUCCAUCGCGCGCUGCCUCUCCCCAUCUCGACGCCGCGAGGGUACAUGUGGAACGAGAUCCGUAAACUUCGCCCGUCCACCGCGGAGGAGGCGGAGUGCCAGCCCACGAAGGACUCGUGCAGCAUCGAGCGCAUCGCGAUGAAGUACGACGAGCGGUGCUGCGCGUGCGACGGGUGCGGGAUCGUGAAGACGAGAUCGUUCGGCACGUCGCGCGUGAAGCGAUCGCGAUCGACGCAGGUGGGAGGAGUCGCGUCCGUCGCGUUGGUCCCCAUACGACCGCGUUCGCGUGGUGAACGCCGAUCCUUAAGGACUUUUGCUGUCGUCCCUCUCCGCCCACCCCUUCCUUUCAAUCCCCGCCUGACGCCUUUCGACUCCCCGCCCCGACGACCCCACCCUCUCGACGACAUCAGAUGAAGUGUCUCCUCUGCGGCGGCUUGGGGUACGUCCGCGUGUGCACGACGCGCGUCGAGCCGGACUUCAGCGCGAGCGGGAAGGACUCCAUGCCCGCGGACUACGAUCCGUAUGGUUUGGGCUUGCCGAAGACGCCGAACGAUCCGCUGUGCGAGCUAGACGAGGACGGCAAGUCCGUCGACGGGAGCGACAGGACGUGGAAGCCGACGAUGGAGUGAGGCGCGUUCUGUACGAGCGAACGUCGGGGUGGAGUUGAAAGGCGUCAGUUGAAGUUGAAAGGCGUCGAGGGCGGGGAUUGAAAACGUGGUGUAAGCGGAGAGAUGCGCCGGGAGAUAAAGUCCUUAAGUAACGGCGUUCACCACGCCAACGGGGUCGUACGGGAACCAGUGUAUGGGACGCACCUGAGUGAGGAGGGUCGUUCCGCGCGAGCGAACGAUUUGAUCGGUCGGCGACGCGCGGUACCGUGUGAUUUUUUGGGGCGAACGGAACGGACGGACCGCGCGUUUGGCGACGCGCGCGUCGUUUCGCCCCCGGGGUGGGGAUAGGGGGAUGGGUUUGGGUGGGGAGAAAGCACUACAGUACUGUAUCAUCAGCGGUUGUAAGCGUGGCCGCGAAUCAAUUC